AAAAGCCCUAUUAAUUUUAGCGGAAGAAUUGACAACUUCAAAUAUGUGACACAAUCAUACAUUUUUUUGUCACGAACAGUUGACAACUUCAAAUAAAAACAACAUACUUGCAAAGACCACCUUUUGUGUCGAAAUAGGCUUUCGCCAUGCUUUUAUAAAUAAAGCAACCAUCAUGUCCAUCAAACAAGUAUAAAAUCACUCAGCAUAAGCGCGUCCGAAGAACUUUGUUGAGUUUAUCUUGUACUCCAUCCAAAAGUCUAAAUAUAUAUUUAGGAACGGGGGAGUAGAAGUUAGAAACGGCAUUGUAAUUAAGAACAAGAUCAAACAUCUUUCUUAACUUAUUUUAUUUUCCUGAACAGUUGAUAACAUCAAUAUCAAACAAGAAAAGUUGAAUUAAAUCUGGUGGCCGGCGUCUGCAUGGCAUGCAUUCUCAGGGGCGAAGUAGAUCCUGCCAGCACUAACGUCGUAGACAAAGCGCUUGUCCACUUGCUGCAUCGCGCCGAUGAUGGUGAUGUCGUUGCUCCGCACCACGGCGAGGCAGAUGUCGUGCCCCACUGCGACGAAGAGCCGUUGUGGCGGCAGCACGAGCCGCGCUUCAGCCUCGGCGAACUGCAGCGUCACCGUGGGCAGGUGCUGCCAGAGCUGCGACGUCGCACGGAAGCAGAGAUGGUACUCGACGCGCGACACAAUUGGCACCCGGAGCGGCUUGAGGUGGUCGACCACGGCGUCCUUGAGCUUUUCGUAAGCGGGCGCUACCAUCACCAUUGCCGCUGUCCCAGCAUCGAAUGCGCAUCCGCCGGUCCACCUGCCAUCAUGGAGGUGGCGCUUGAACAGCUCGCCGAUAUGCUCCAGCUGCCGCCCGCCGACGCUGACGCCCGCGAGGGUGACGAAGUAGGCACUGAAAUCUCGGCUGGUGAUGAAGUUCAUGUACAAGAUCUUGGUGCUCACCAUGUGUUGGGUGUGCGGGAUGUCGUCGCCGAACCGGAGAAAGGUGUGGUGGUCCGGCGAGCCGUGGCUAGGGAGGCAGUAAGAGAAGCGAUGCACUUGCACGGCACCAUGCCUGUGUUGGCUGAGCGUCCAGAUGAGCGACGGGGCCUGCCUUCCCAGGCCGAGCACCCCGGCGAGCACUCCGUGGCUGUUGAAGUUGAAGCCCUCGCCGCUGUGCGUGCAGCCAAUGACGACGCCAGCAACCUUCGCCUCCUGGCCGGCGGCCGCGAAGGCUAAGGUCUCGUUGCUCAGGACGCCUCUCGCAUCGAUGCCGUGAAGUCCGAUGCUACGAAACUUGCAUGGGUCUUGAACUGUGGGCCGAUGCCCAUGAGCGGGCGGCAAGCAGAACCUGCUGUUGCCCGGUACAUGGCGGAACGACGACGACUUGGCAGGCUCGAAGGGCGGCGGCUGCUGUGCGAAAGGCUUUUGGACCGGCUUGCACUGCAUCCACAGUUCGCUGCUGGUCAUAUCCAGCGCGAGGACGUACGUGCGUCGGCCGGCCCCCGUCCCAACGCUGGUGACGACGCUGUACUUGCCCCCAAUUUGUGUGUGCAUGGGGGGGCGAAGCGCGGUGGUGGCGUCCUCAUUCAGGUGCACGAAGCCGUCGUCGUCGACGUGGAUGCUACGGUUCCAGCCGGGGCUGGGUACCAGCCGCAGGCUGAAGCCACCGCCGCCGCGGUCUGGUGUGCCAUCACCUACAGCGACGACAUCAGCCGGGUGGAGGAGCGCCGCAAGCACUAGAGGAAGGAGGAGAGCGCAGGCGGCGAGCCUCAUGGACAUUUCUGUUGCAGCAAUGCUUGUUGGUGUUUGAUGGCUUAGUAGUUCGGUUUUUCGCAAACCCAGAUUUGACGUGUAUAUAUAUUGGAGGGGAGGGUUUGCCGCAUUUACUACGAAGGGAGAAUCCGUUUCUGAGAUUUGCAUCUAUCUUGCAGAUAUCUACGGACGAGAUACACACACAUUAAUUCAUGCCAUUCUUGAAUUAAUGGUGCAAAUCGGAAAGAGUGAUAGAUAGAGGCAAAAAAAUGCAUAUCCCAUGCAGCAGAUACGUAUGGAGCAAAUACGCACAAAUUAAUUCAUGCCAUUCUUGAAUUAGGCUCUGUUUGGUUCAUAAGUCCUAAGACUUUUUUUAGUCCCAACUUAUAAGUCCCAAGUCCUCAAAAAGUCCCUACCUGUUUGGUUUCUGUGACUUAUAAGUCCUUAUAAGACCAUAUUACCACUAUAAGUCCCUAUAAGACUCUCCUUGAGAGUCUUAUUUCAUAAGUUCCAAAUGCCCACUUUAAGUCCCUAUAAGUCCCUCCUGUUUGGUUUAGAUGGGACUUAUAGAGACUUUUUUAAGUCCCUAAACUAAUAAGUCCCUCGAAACAAACACUCUCUUAAUGGUGCAAAUCGGAAAGAGUGAUAGAUAGAGGCGAAACAACAAGAAACUGCAUAUCCCUUGCAGAUACCUACGGAGGAGAUACACACACAUUAAUUCAUGCCAUUCUUGAAUUAAUGGUGCAAAUCGGAAAAAGUGAUAGAUAGAGGCAAAAAAAUGCAUAUCCCUUGCAGAUACCUAUGGAGGAAAUGCGCACAAAUUAAUUCAUGCCAUUCUUGAAUUAGUGGUGCAAAUCGGAAAGAGUGAUAGAUAGAGGCGAAACAACAAGAAACUGCAUAUCCCUUGCAGAUACCUAUGGAGGAAAUACGCACAAAUUAAUUCAUGCCAUUCUUGAAUUAAUGGUGCAAAUAAGAAAGAGUGAUAGAUAGUAGAGAUGUUUUUGGAGUGGCGUCAAUUAAAUUGAAGCUGCUGGGUUUGCGAAAAAGCGAUGGUGACGGCACAUGCGUGACUUUGAUGGUGGUUAUGCGAGCACCUGGUCUCGAGCUCCAGGGUGAAAAUCCAGGUCAGACCCGAGUGGUCAUCCCUGGAAAUAGCGAUGUUUUUUAUGUCGUUACUUUGUUGGAGGCAUUGCUCAGAUACGUUCAGUCUAGACCUGAUCAUUCCUUGGGCUGGGCCGGGUUGGGCCCGGGCAUCCGGCCCGGCCCGAAGCACAGGAACAAUGACAUUUUCAAUUAAAAUAAUAUUAUUUGGGUUUUUAAAAUAAUAAACUAUACCUAUAUUCCAAAUAAAAUAUAGAUUUAUGGGCAUUUGCGGCUUAUUCUGAGCUUUUGGGCCGGGCUUCGGGCCAAAAAAUGGAGCCCAGGCCUGGCCCGGAUGCCAGGCUUUUGGGGUCAGGCCUCCAGGCCGGGCUAUCCAUGCACAGGUUUAGUUCAGACUGUUUCAUCAACGUGAAAAAAUUGAUUCUGGCCUUUGUGGUUGGAUCCGGCGACGGCAGCACUUGAGUGUCGCUUUCUUUCUGAAGGCGUCGGUGUGGAAAAUCCUCAUCAUCAAUGUGGUGUCAACGGUUGGUGCCGAUAUGAUCUUAGAUAUAGUUUGUCGAUCGCUGAUCUGAUCGAUUUGGGGUGUUUUCUUUUUCUUUUUCUUUUUUCACGCUUACGCAUAGCUUUUGCUCUUAUGACUUUACUAGUCGCUGGUGUGUUUUCGUGCGUGUGUGUGUGUGUGUUGGGUUGGCAGUGUGCAUUCUAAUUAUACAGAGACCGGGUGUGUGCCUUCCAUACCCGUACCCGGCCUACCCAAUGGGUACAUUUUUUUUUCAUUCUAGUUAUGCAGAGGCCAGGUUUGUUGCCCAAUAAUUUGAUGAAACGCCGUCAAAUAGGGAAUUCCGCGUAUGUAUGACAAACUCAAUAUAUAUUGCUCGAUAAAUGUAUCCCACUCUACAUUAUACUAGUAAUAUUUUGUUGCAGAAUUUAACUAUUUGUGAGCAAUUAGGCAAAAAACCUAUUGUUCGAGGAAAUCGAUUUUAAAAGUUGAGAAAUGUUUGUGCUUUGCAGUGAUCCAUAGAAACUGUAUAGGUGCAAAGAUCACCAUUGGUUGUGCCGAUGCUUAAUUGAGUUUACUUGUAAAUAUAAAUUAAAAAUGCACGACCACAAAAACCACUCUACAUGUCACGCCUGACAUUGCUUCCUUCAUUGCAUCCACCCUACAAUGUCCAGUCUCCUCUUUCCCGCAGAUCUACCUAGGACUCCCUCUAGCGCCUACUCGCCUGCCCGUCAAUGCAUUUCCUCUAGCGCCUACUCGCCUGCCCGCCAAUGCAUUUCUACUUAUCAUCGACAAAUGCAAAAAAUUUCUCUCCGGUUGGCCGCCUGACUGCUCUCUAAAGCGAUAGACUAAUCGUCCUAUCAUAGUAAUUGAAUCCACCCUGGUUUACUUUAUGUCCAUCUUUCUCAUCCCGAAAAGUGUACUCACAACUCUGGAUUCGAUCCGCCGCGCUUUCUUUUGGGCUGCUGAAGAAACAUGCUCGGGUGCUGACUGACUAGUUGGUGGUCUAGGACUGAAGAAUCUGCCACAACAAAAUCAUAGACCACUUGCAGAAUUGUUCCCCUACCUAUACUCACACACCACUCUCCCACUUGCUCAUGUGGCUGCUGUUUUGAAUCAAGGUUGGGAAUAUUUCCUGCGGACUCGCCUAACCUCUAAUGUUGCAUCCGAGUUGCUUUCUUUGUUGCAAGACUUUCAGCCAUCGCAAGAACCAGAUGAGCGCUUCCUCAUUAGCGGCCUACCUUUCUCCACUAAAGCAGCAUACGAGCUUACCCUGAGAGAGGACUUGGUGGACCUCCACUCCAUGCCUAUCUGGACAUCACGAGCCCCCAAUCGGGUCAAGAUUUUUGCAUGGCUCCUAUUUCGUUGUCGGCUAAACUGUAAGGCCAAUUUCUUGCGUAAGCAUAUUGUUUCUGACGCCCUAUGCCCAAGAUGCGGGUUUGACGGCGAAGACAUCACACACAUUUUCAUCAACUGCCCCCUAGCGAGGCGUGUAUGGCUCAGACUUGGCAUCACUCCCAACGGCUGCAUCGACGAUCUUUGGGAUUGCCACAUACCCGCGGACAAUGAUCACAGAAUCUGGAACUCAAUGUUGCUCAUCAUUCCGUGGAAGAUAUGGGAUUCUAGGAAUGCCAUGACCUUCGGGCAGCAGAAUCACCACAACAUCACCACCCUCAAGAACAUCCUACAAGACCUUAUGCUUUGGAUCCACCGGAUGAAGAAGGCAGAAGAAAAACAGGCCGCGUCCUCGUGGCAUUCUUACCUGUCCUCACGUUUACACGUGCUUAUGUAAUUCACCUCUUUGUAAUCAGUCAUCAUCGAUGGAUCACAAAACUUGAGAAAUAUAUNNNNNNNNNNNNNNNNNNNNNNNNNNNNNNNNNNNNNNNNNNNNNNNNNNNNNNNNNNNNNNNNNNNNNNNNNNNNNNNNNNNNNNNNNNNNNNNNNNNNNNNNNNNNNNNNNNNNNNNNNNNNNNNNNNNNNNNNNNNNNNNNNNNNNNNNNNNNNNNNNNNNNNNNNNNNNNNNNNNNNNNNNNNNNNNNNNNNNNNNNNNNNNNNNNNNNNNNNNNNNNNNNNNNNNNNNNNNNNNNNNNNNNNNNNNNNNNNNNNNNNNNNNNNNNNNNNNNNNNNNNNNNNNNNNNNNNNNNNNNNNNNNNNNNNNNNNNNNNNNNNNNNNNNNNNNNUCGGUUACUCCCGAAAUCUAGAGAUUGGGUAGGGAUCUGUGUCACCCCAUUUUUGCUAUGUAUACUAUUAGCCAAAAAUUGUUCAGUUCGUACGCGGCCGUGUCAUACGAUGGGCCCAUGAAUGGUUGAGAGUUUUUUUAGGGCAAUCUCAUGAAGCUUUAUUAAGGGUAUCUUCAAGACGGACCCGCAAACCUCCCACAACUGUUCGGGUCACGCUGUCCGGAAGUGAUUUCUCACGCAAACCAGAGACAACGGGGGGAGGGGGCAAUUUGUCCAUUUAUAUUUAAUUAUGUUUAUUUUCAUGAUGAUAAUUACCAGUUGACAACUUCAAAUUCAAGACAGAAAAGAUGAAUUAAAUCUGUCCGCCGACAUCCGCAUGGCACGCAUUCUCGGGGGCGAAGUAGAUCCUUCUGGCGCGGACGUCGUAGACGAAGCGCGUGUCCACUUGCUGCAUUGCGCCGAUGAUGGUGAUGUCCAGGCUCGAGUGCACGGCGAGGCAGAUGUCAUGCCCCACCGCGAUGAACAGCCGUUGCGGUGUGAGAACGAGCCGUGCGUUCUCCUCCGCGAAAUGCAGCGUCACCGUCGGCAGGUGCUGCCAUAGGUGCGACGUCGCGCGGAAGCAGAGGUAGUAUCCGGCGUGGCGCACGCGCGACACCCCGAGCGGCUUGAGGUGCUCCAGCACGGCGUUCUCCAGCCUAUGGUAAGCUGUCCUUAUCAGCAUCAUCGAUGGCGUCCCAACAUCGAACACAACUCCGCCGGUCCACCCCAAGGGUACAAGUGGCGCUCGAACAGCUCCCCGAUAUGCUGCAGCGGCCGCCCGGCGACGCUGACGCCCACGAGGGUGACGAAGUAGGCGCUGAAAUCUUGGCCAGGCGUGAUCUGGGUGCUCACCAUGUGCUGGGUGCUCGGGACGUCGUCGCCGAACCGGAGGAAGGUGCGGUGGUCCCGCGAGCCGCGCCUAGGAAGACAGUAGGAGAAGCGAUGCACCUGCACGGCGCCAUGCCUGUGUUGCCCGAGCGUCCAGACGAGCGAUGGCUUGUGCCUUCCCAGGCCGAGUGCACCAGCGAGCACUUCAUGGCUGUUGAACCCAUAGCUGGUGUGCGCGCAGCCAAUGACGACUCCAGCAACCUCUGCCACCUCGCCGGAGGUUCCGAAGGCCAAGGUGUCAUUGCCGAGCACGCCGGUCACGUCGACGGCGUCAUGUCGGGUGGGACGGAGAUGGAAGUUGCACGGGUCGUGCGCUCGGGGCCGAUGCUCGCCGCGCAAGCACAUUGGGUUGUUACCUGGUACGGGGCGGAAUGAUGGCGAUUUCGCAGGGUCGAAGGGCGGUGGGUGCUGCACGAACGGCCUUUGGACCGUGUUGCACUGCAUCCACAGCAGGUUUCUGGUCAUGUCCAGCGCGAGGACGUACGUGCGUCGGCCGGCCCCCGUCCCAACGCUGGUGACAACACUGUACGUGCCCCCAACUUGUGUGUGCAUGGGCGGCCGAAGCGCGGUGUUGGCAUCCUCAUUCAGAUGCACGAAGCCGUCGUCGUCGACGUGGAUGCUACGGUUCCAGCCGGGACUGGGUACCAGCCGCAGGCUGAAGCCCCCGCCACGGCGGCCUGGUUUGCCAUCACCUACAGCGACGACGGCGGCAGGGUGGAGGAUCGCCCCAAGCACUAGAGGGAGGAGGAGAGCGCGCAGGGCGAGCUUCAUGGACAUUUCUGUUGCAGCAAUGCUGGCUAACUUGUUGGCGCUUGAGUAGUUUGCUUUUACGCUGACCCAAGGUUGACACAUACUCCGUGUAUAUAUAUAUAUAUUGGAGGGAGGUUCGGCUGCAUUUACUACGAAGCAAAAAUCUGUUUUUGGUAUUUGCAUAUCCCUUGCAGAUAUCCAUUGAUGCAUUUAUUAAAAAGCGAAAAAUCUGUUUUUGAUAUUUGCAUAUCCCUUGCAGAUAUCCAUGGAUGCAUUUAUUAAGAAGCCAAAAAGUCUGUUUUUUGAUAUUUGCAUAUCCCUUGCAGAUGUCCAUGGUGGAGAUACGCACAAAUUCAUUCAUGUAAAGAAUUAAUCUCUACUCCUAAUAUCUCAGUUGGUAGUCUCCUCAGUUAAUUUUCGUUCCACUUUCUUUGGGUUUUUUUCGUCCUCCCUCCCACCUCCCAAUUCCCCCGCAGUAACGAUCCCACCUCCCAGUUUCGUCGGUUUUUUUCAUCGAUUUUUUAUUCGCCCCCCUCCCACUGGCCGGACAAACCCAACGUUUAUUUGGUAACACAAUGAAUUCACAUAUGGUGAUUGAUUUACGAGGAGAACCAGAGGAGGAUGCACUGGAUGGCCUGGUGGAAAAUGUGCGUACCUAAAACCAAGGAGGGAUGGGAUUUCGUGAUAUUCACUGUUUCAAUAUGGCACUGCUCGCCAAACAGGCAUGGCGUCUUCUGGAUAAUCCUGAUUCUUUGUGUGCUACAAUUCUAAGGGCUAAAUACUAUCCUGAUGGUGAUUUGUUAAAUUAUAAGCAAAAGAAAGGCUCUUCUUUUACCUGGCAAAGUAUUAUGGCUGGUAUAAAUUCUCUGAAACGUGGCUAUAUUUGGCGUGUGGGGAAUGGACAAAAUAUAAAUAUUUGGGAGGAUGCCUGGAUUCCAAAUUGUGAUACUAGAAAAGAUGUGACACCUAAGGGGGGACAACUGUUAACUAAGGCGGGUGAUUUGAUUGAUCCUGUUUCGAAUUCUUGGGACGAAGAUCUGGUUACACAAACAAUGUGGCCCAUUGAUGUUCAACGGAUUCUCUCAAUUCCAAUCUCGCAACAUGAUAUGCCAGAUUUCAUUGCUUGGAGUUAUACGAAAAAUGGUAUGUUCUCGGUUCGGUCUGCUUAUUUUGUGGAGUGGGACCAUCAGUAUGGAAGUAGUCUAAGACAUUCUAAUGGGAUGGGGCGAAGCGCAGUUAAUCCUAUUUGGAGUAAGAUAUGGAAGUUAUCGUGUCCGGCAAAAGUCAAAAAGUUUAUAUGGCGUGCAUUACAUGGAACGCUUCCAUGUCGGGUUACGCUUGCAAAUAGACAUAUGGAGGUCAUGCCCAUUUUCCCUACUUGCUCUGAGGGUUCUGAAGAUACAAAGCAUAUGCUUUUCCUUUGUAGUAGAGCAAAGGAGAUUUGGACAAGGUUGGGGAUGGAUGAUAUCAUUGAUAAAGCUUGCAAGGUUGACCUUGCUGGAGAGGCGGUGCUGGAAUACCUACUACUUCUGCGAGAUCAAGAUUUGAGGAUAAUGGGUUAUCACAAUGUGCGUGAAAUGAUUGUUGUCUCAGCAUGGUAUCUAUGGUGGGAAAGACGGAAGUUAGCGCACAAGGAGACAACUUAGAAUGCACUUCAGAUUUCAAUGGGGAUUCUAGCCCUUACGUCAAACUUCGUAAAUGCGUCAUCCCCCAAGGCUUCUAUAAAAAAGGGGGGUAGGUCAUGUCCUCCUACGGGUUUUGUGAAACUUAACGUUGACGCUUCUUUUGAUCACGACCUACUUAGGGGCACGAUGGGGGCGGUUUUGAGAGAUGAAAAAGGUAGGUUUAUCGCGGGAGGGAACGGGAAGAUUGACUAUUGCGCAGAUGUGUUGAUGGUGGAAGCCUCAGCUCUUAAAUUUGGUAUAACAUUGGCGCAAAAGGCGGGAUGUAACCGCCUUAUUAUUAACUCGGACAACCUGGAGGUGAUUGAUACCAUGAAGAACGGAGGACAGUCGGCGGGUGCGGCGGCGGCAAUCUUUGACGAUUGUUUUCAUUAUGCUUGUGACUUCGUUGCUACUAGAUUCGAACACUGUAACAGAGAAGCAAAUAAAGUAGCUCAUGAGCUUGCGAGUUUAGCUAGAUUUUGGUUGAUUUCUGAUUGGUUUGAGGAACCCGUAAAUGAAAUUGUAAUGACCCUCACAAAGGAUGUACUUUUUAUCUCUAAUGAAUAAAGUUUUCGUUUAUCUCAAAAAAACUAACGGAUAUUAAUCAAUCUUCAAAUACCAAAACCAAACGUACAAGGCAACAAUCAAUUCAUGUAUCACAAUCAGAUUCUUCUUUAGUACCCAGCUUAACUCACGGAUGGUAAUCAAUCCCCAAACAAAGGAAACAAUUAACCUCUACAUCACCGUUGUUUACCUCUCGCCAAUACCAAAUUCAUACUAGGCAUAUCACCUACGCGGCAUGGUGUUGGUCCAGACCCCUAUGACGUGAUGUUGGGAUCAUGUCACAACACCACGCCGUCUUGAGCGCCGAUUUUGUUUCACCCACGAUUGACUGAUCUGAUUACCGAUCCACGAUCCAACCGGAGAAACCCUAUUCCCUCCCCCAUCUCGUGUAUUCUCCUGUGGUGGCAUGUCGAGUGGCGUCGGGGCAGCAACACGACGUGCUUAUGGUGCAUCAGAGGCCAGACGUGAGGUACCCAUUCAUCCUCUCCUCCUAAGCCUGCGUCAUCUCUCUCCUCUUGGCCAUCUCUCCUAGAAUGGCGCGUGGCGGCGACGACACAUGAACGCGGAGUGGCUCGUUGAGUUGCAUGGGGCUCACACGGGGCGUGCACGGUGGGUUGAAUUGGCGCGACGGCAACAGUGGUUGAAGGACGUGCUUGCUUCAGGUCGUUCGGCUAUUAUGCCGCAGGGGACAGUGCACGUAUCAGUGUGCCAAGGUGGCGGGGAUGCGGUGGCCAAAUGACGCAUGUGUCUGAGCCCUAAGGACGUGAUGACCCACAAGUGUAGGGGAUCUAUCAUAGUCCUUUCGAUAAGUAAGAGUGUCGAACCCAACGAGGAGCAGAAGGAAAUGAUAAGCGGUUUUCAGUAAGGUUUUCUCUGCAAGCACUGAAAUAGUAGGUGAUAGAUAGUUUUGUGAUAAGACAAAUAGUAACGAGCAAAAAGUAAAUAAAUUAAAUUAAAUGCAGCAAGGUGGCCCAAUCCUUUAUGUAGCAAAGGAUAAGCCUGGACAAAUUCUAAUAAUGAGGAAGGAGCUCCCGAGGACACAUUGGGAAUUAUCGUCACGCUAGUUUUCAUCACGUUCGUAAGAUUCGCGUUCGGUACUUUGAUAAUUUGAUAUGUGGGUGGACCGGCACUUGGGUACUGCCCUAACUUGGACAAGCAUCCCACUUAUGAUUAACCCCUAUUGCAAGCGUCCGCAACUACAAAAAGGAGUAUUAAGGUAAACCUAACCACAACAUUAAACAUAUGGGCCCAUAUCAACCCCUAACGAAGCAACACAUAAACUAGGGUUUAAGCUUCUGUCACUCUAGCAACCCAUCAUCUACUUAUUACUUCCCUAUGCCUUCCUCUAGGCCCAAAUAAUGGUGAAGUGUCAUGUAGUCGACGUUCACAUAACACUACUAGAGGAAAGACAACAUACAUCUCAUCAAAAUAUCGAACGAAUACCAAAUUCACAUGACUACUAAUAGCAAUACUUCACCCAUGUCCUCAGGAACAAACGUAACUACUCACAAAGCAUAUUCAUGUUCAUAAUCAGAGAAGUAAUAAUAUGCAUAAAGGAUCUGAACAUAUGAUCUUCCACCAAGUAAACCAAUUAGCAUCAACUACAAGGAGUAAUCAACACUACUAGCAAUCCACAGGUACCAAUUUGUGGUUUUGAUACAAGAUUGGAUACAAGAGAUGAACUAGGGUUUUGAGAGGAGAUGGUGCUGGUGAAUAUGUUGAUGGAGAUUGACCCCCUCCCGAUGAGAGGAUCGUUGGUGAUGACGUUGGUGAUGAUUUCCCCCUCCCGGAGGGAAGUGUCCCCGGCAGAACAGCUCCGCCAGAGCCCUAGAUUGAUUCCGCCAAGGUUCCGCCUCGUGGCGGCGGAGUUUCAUCCUGUAAGCUUGCCCACAAUUUUUUCCAGGGUAAGAGUGAUGAUAUAGCAGAAGAUGGAUGCCGGAGGCCCACCAGGGGGCCCAGGAGAUAGAGGGCCGCGCCCUAUAGGGGGGCGCGCCCCCUUGUCUCCUGGACAGGGUGUGGGCCCCCUGGCCUAUUUCUUUCGCUCAUAAAUUCUUAAUAAAUCCAAAAAGUUGUUUCGUGGAGUUUCAGGACUUUUGGAGUUGUGCAGAAUAGGUUUCCAAUGUUUGCUCCUUUUCCAGCCAGAAUUCCAGCUGCCGGCAUUCCCCCUCUUCAUGGUAAACCUUGUAAAAUAAGAGAGAAUAGCCAUAAGUAUUGAGAUAUAAUGUGUAAUGACAGCCCAUAAUGCAAUAAAUAUUGAUAUAAAAGCAUGAUGCAAAAUGGACGUAUCAACUCCCCCAAGCUUAGACCUCGCUUGUCCUCAAGCGGAAGCCGAAAUCGAAAAAUAUGUCCACAUGUUUAGUGAUAGAGGUGUCGAUAAAAAUAAAAUAGGAACAUGAGGGCAUCAUGAUCAUUCUAAUAAUAGCAACAUAUAUAGAUUUUGUCAUAUGAUUUCCUAUGCUCAAGUAAUAAGCAAUUCACAAUGUCAAGUAUGGUUCAUAAACUUUAUUGGAAACUAACAAACUAUAAUCUCAGUCAUUGAAGCAAUUGCAAUUUAUCGUAACAUCAGAAAGAGUCAAUAAUAGAGCUUUUCAACAAGCUCACAUACUCAACUAUCUCGUAGUCUCCCAUAAUUGCUAACACUCACGCAAUACUUGUGGUUAUAGAGUUUCAGUCGGACACUGAGAAAGAUAGGGGCUUAUUGUGUUGCCUCCCAAUGUAUUCACCUUUAGGUGAUGUCAACAAUAAUAGCCUAUGCCAACUUACAUCCAAUUGGAUAUAUGUAUCAUGAUCUUUCAAACACGAGGAGCUUGCCAAAGGAUAAAAUGAAAAAAGAAAAAGGUGAGGAUCACCUUGACUCAAGCAUAAAGUAAAAAACAUAAAGUAAAAGAUAGGCCCUUCGCAGAGGGAAGCAGAGGUUUCCAUGCGCGUUUAGGUUGAUGCACGAAAUCUUAAUGCAAAAGAACGUCACUUUAUAUUGCCCCUUGUAUGUGGACCUUUAUUAUGCUAUCCGUCGCUUUUAUUACUUCCACAACAAGUUCGUACCAAGCUUAUUUUCUCUACACUAAUAAGUCAUACAUAUUUAGAGAGCAAUUUUUAUUGCUUGCGCCGAUGACAACUUACUUGAAGGAUCUUACUCAAUCCAUAGGUAGGUAUGGUGGACUCUCAUGGCAAAACUGGGUUUGGGGAUAUUUGUAAGCACAAGUAGUAUCUCUACUUGGUGCAAGGAAUUUGGCUAGCAAGAGGGGGAAAGGCAAGCUCAACAUGUUUGAAAGGUCAAUGACAAUAUACUUUAACUGAGAUGUCGGAAAACAUAAACCAUUACAUUGUCUUCCUUGUCCAACAUCAACUCUUUUAGCAUGUCAUACAUAAUGAGUGCUCCACAAUCAUAAAAGAUGUCCAAGAUAAUAUAUCUAUAUGUGAACCCCUCUUUCCUUAUCACUUCCUAUUAAUUGCAACGAUGACCAAGGCUACGUUCAUCAACUCUCAACAAUUUUUAUGCCUCAUACUUUCCAUGUGUGAAGUUAUCACUAUCUAUAAGAUCAAUAUGAACUCUUUUGUUCUUUCUACUUUCUCAAGAUCAUAGCAAAUAGCAAAGCCCUUGACUCAACACUAAUCUUUAUCAAAAUACUUGAUAUCAAAGCUUCAAUUUACUAGAUCAAGAUACUACUGAAAGGAUCGAACUAAAUAAAGGGGUAAAGAUAGGAGUGUGAUGGUGAUACGAUACCGGGGCACCUCCCCCAAGCUUGGCAGUUGCCAAGGGGGGUGCCCAUACCAAUGUGAUUAUUUCCUCGGAGGGGAUGAUGACGGUGGAUAAUCGCACAUCGAGCGUAAAAGCUCCUCCAACUUGUGGAUAAUGCCCUUGAGCCCAGCAAUAUGAUCCUUCAACAAAAUAUUCUCCUAUGUGAGAUACUUGUUCUGUAUGCGGGCUAACUCAAUCAUCUUGAAAGCCUCAAUGUCUGUUGGAGUGAAAAGGUUAGGUAAAGGUUGAGGGAUGUCUUCUUCUUUCACCAUCGGAGCUUGGACCUCCAUGGCCUUCUUGAUCCCUUCAUCCUUGUUGAUCUCUGCUGGUUCCUCUCUUUUCAGCUCUAUCUUCAAUAGCCAAGCAUCCUUAUCUUCGUUGUUGGAGGAGGGGGAAGUCAUGGUGCUCUAAAUCUGAAACAGAAACAACUCGAAACGAAAACAAAGGAUAUUUGCGUGAUACGGUGGUCAAAACCUUCGGGAGUAUAUAUAAUGAAUUUUUACCGACCAAAAUGCGUAACAUACAAGAAAACGGAGUCCGGGAGGCACACGAGGUGCCCACGAGACAGGGGGCGCGCCCUACAUGGGGGGGCCUCCUCUCUCGUGGGAGCCUCGUGUCCCUUUUGGACUACUUCUUUAUUCCUAAAAUUCUUAGAUAAUCCAAAACUGAUAAAAAUUGCCAUUAGAGUUGUUUUGGAGUUGGUUUACUUACCGUACCACGUACCUAUGCCUUUUCGGACUCUGGAACAUUCUGGAAAGUGUCUCUUAUGUAUUCCUCAGGGGUUAUGGUUUCAAUAAUAUUAGUUUUAACAUUGAUAGGAUUACCUGAAAUAUAAUGUUUAAUUCUUUGACCGUUAACCACCCUCGGAUUUGUGCCUUCGAAGUUGUUGAUUUUUAUAGCACCAAAACGAUAGACCUCCUCGAUAACGUAGGGACCUUCCCAUUUUGAGAGAAGUUUUCCUGCAAAAAAUCUUAAACGAGAGUUGAAUAAUAACACAUAAUAUCCUACAUUAAACUCACGCUUUUGUAUCAUCUUAUCAUGCUAGCGUUUGACUUUUUCUUUGAAAAGCUUGGCAUUCUCAUAUGCUUGGGUUCUCCAUUCAUCAAGCGAGCUAAUAUCAAACAACCUCUUCUCGCCGGCAAGUUUGAAGUCAUAAUUGAGCUUUUUAAUAGCCAAUAUGCUUUAUGUUCAAGUUCAAGAGGUAAAUGACAUGCUUUUCCAUAAACCAUCUUAUAUGGAGACAUACCUAUAGGACUUUUGUAUGCAGUUCUAUAGGCCCAUAAUGCAUCAUCAAGUUUUUUGGACCAAUUCUUUCUAGAUCUAUUCACAGUCUUUUGCAAAAUUAAUUUGAGCUCUCUAUUGCUCAACUCUACUUGACCACUAGACUGCGGGUGAUAAGGAGGUGCGAUUCUAUGAUUGACAUCAUACUUAGCAAGCAUCUUACGGAAAGCACCAUAAAUAAAGUGUGAACCACCAUCAGUCAUAAGAUAUCUAGGGACUCCAAACCUCGGAAAAAUAACUUCUUUAAGCAUUUUAAUAGAAGUGUUAUGAUCAACACUACUAGUUGGAAUAGCUUCUACCCACUUAGUAACAUAAUCAACAGCAACUAAAAUAUGUGUAUAACCAUUGGAGGCAGGAAAAGGUCCCAUAUAAUCAAAGCCCCAAACAUCAAACGGUUCAAUAACAAGAGAAUAAUUCAUAGGCAUUUCUUGACGUCUACUAAUGUUACCUAUUCUUUUACAUUCAUCACAAGAUAAGACAAACUUACGAGCAUCUUUGAAGAGAGUAGGCCAAUAAAAAUGAGAUUGUAGUACCUUGUGUGCAGUUCUAUCUCUAGCGUGGUGUCCUCCAUAAGAUUCAGAGUGACACUUGCGUAGGAUUUGUUUCUGUUCAUGCUCAGACACACAAUGUCUAAUAAUACCAUCUACUCCUUCUUUCUAAAUGUGUGGAUCAUCCUAGAAGUAAUGUCUUAAAUCAUAAAAGAACUUUUUCUUUUGCUGGUAUGUGAAACUAGGCGGUAUAUAUUUAGCAACAAUGUAAUUAGCAUAAUCAACAUACCAAAGAGCAGUACGAGAAGCAUUGACAACCACUAAUUGUUCAUCAGGAAAACUAUCAUUAAUAGGCAGUGGGUCAUCAAGAACAUUCUCUAACCUAGACAAGUUGUCUGCCACGGGGUUCUCAGCUCCCUUUCUAUCAAUAAUAUGCAAGUCAAAUUCUUGGAGCAAGAGAACCCAUGUAAUGAGUCUAGGCUUAGCAUCUUUUUUUCCAUGAGAUAUUUAAUAGCAGCAUGAUCAGUGUGAAUAGUAACUUUGGAAUCAACAAUAUAAGGUCUAAACUUAUCACAUGCAAACACAACUGCUAAGAACUCUUUUUCAGUAGUAGCAUAAUUUCUCUGGGCAGUAUCAAGAGUCUUACUAGCAUACUGGAUAACAUUCUAUUUCUUAUCGACUCUUUGCCCUAAAACAUCACCUACAGCAUAAUCACUAGCAUCACACAUAAUUUCAAAAGGUAAAUUCCAAUCAGGUGGCUGAACAAUAGGUGCAGUGAUCAAAGCUUUCUUAAGUGUUUCAAAUGCUUCUACACAAUCAUCAUCAAAGACAAAUGGAAUAUCUUUUUGCAAUAAAUUAGUCAGAGGCCUAGAGAUUUUAGAAAAGUCCUUAAUGAACCUCCUAUAAAAGUCGGCAUGACCAAGGAAACUUCUUAUACCUUUUAUGUCCUUGGGACAUGGCAUCUUUUCAAUAGCAUCAGCUUUGGCUUUAUCAACUUCAAUACCUCUCUCGGAGAUCUUGUGCCCCAAGACAAUGCCUUCAUUAACCAUAAAGUGACACUUUUCCCAAUUCGGGACUAGACUAGUGUCUUCGCAUCUCUGCAAAACUCGAUCAAGGUUGCUCAAACAAUCAUCAAAAGAGGAUCCAUAGACGGAGAAAUCAUCCAUGAAUACCUCACAAAUCUUUUCACAAAAAUCAGAAAAUAUAGCCAUCAUGCAUCUUUGAAAGGUAGCAGGUGCAUUACAUAAACCAAAAGGCAUACGUCUAUAAGCAAAAGUACCAAAAGGGCAAGUAAAAGUAGUCUUAGAUUGAUCCUUCGCGGACACAGGUAUUUGAGAGAAGCCAGAAUAACCAUCUAGAAAGUAAAAUGUGUGUGUUUGGAUAGCCUUUCUAGCAUUUGAUCAAUAAAAGGUAAAGGGUAAUGAUCUUUCUUAGUAGCUUUAUUUAACUUACGGAAAUCAAAUACCAUCAUAUAACCUCUAAUAAUUCUUUGCGGGAUCAAAUUAUCUUUAUCAUUAGGAACAACGGUAAUACCUCCCUUUUUAGGGACACAAAGGACAGGGCUUACCCAUUCACUAUCAGCAACGGGAUAAAUAAUACCUGCCCCAAGGAGUUUUAGAAUCUCCUUUCUCAUCACUUCCUUCAUUUUGGGGUUUAAUCGUCUUUGAGGAUCUCUAACUGGUUUGGCAUCUUUCUCCACUGAAAUUUUGUGUUGACAUAAUGUGGGACUAAUGCCCUUAAGAUCGUCCAGAGUAUAUCCAAUAGCAGCUCGGUGCUUCUUCAGAGUUUUCAAUAAUCUUUCUUCUUCUUUCUCUGAAAGGUUAGCACUAAUAAAUACAGGAUAUAUUUCUUUUUCAUCAAGAUAAGCAUAUUUGAGAUUAUCAGGUAAGGGUUUGAGUUAGAAUAUGGGAUCACCCUUGGGUGGAGGGGGAUCCCCAAGAAUUUCAGCGGGAAGGUUAUGUUUUAGCAUAGGUUCUUGUUUAAGGAACACUUCAUCUAUUUCUUUCCUUUCCUUCAUAAACAUAUCGUUUUCAUGGUCUAACAAAUAUUGUUCUAACGGGUCAGUUGGAGGAACAGCAAUGGAAGCAAGACCAAUAAUUUCAUCCUUACUAGGUGGUUCCCUUUCACGAGGUUGUCUACUAAACUUAGCGAAAAAUUAAACUCAUGAGACAUACCAUCUAUGCCAACAGUGACAAUAUUCUUUUCACAAUUAAUCUUAGCACUAGCAGUAUUCAAGAAGGGUCUACCAAAAAUAAUGGGACAAAAAUCAUCUUGUGGGGAAGCAAGAAUAAGAAAAUCAGCAGGGUAUUUAAUCUUCCCACACAAGACUUCAACAUCUCUAACAAUCCCAAUAGGUUUAAUGGUAUCCCUAUUAGCAAGCUUAAUAGUAACAUCAAUGUCUUCUAAUUCAACAGGUGCAAUAUCAUGUCUUUAUAAAGAUCAUAAGGUAUCGCGUUAGCACUAGCACCCAUAUCACAUAAGCCAUGAUAACAAUGAUCUCCUAUUUUAACAGAAAUAACAGGCGUGCCUACAACAGGUCUACGUGUCUUAUUAUCGGGUCUAGCAAUAUUAGCAGUUUCACCCAAGAAAGAGAUAACAUGCCCAUCUAAGUCCUCAUCCAAAAGAUCUUUAAUCAUAGCAAUACCAGGUUCAACAUUAAUUUGCUCAGGAGGUGUAUAAGUCCUAGUAUUACUCUUACGAACAACAGUCGAAGCUUUAACAUGAUCUUUUAUCCUAACAGGAAAAGGAGGUUUUUCGACAUAAGCAGUAUGAAUAAUAGGAUCACUAUAUGUAAUAGUCUUUUCUUCGACUGUAAUAGGUGCAACUACUUUCACUUCAACAGGAGGAUUAUAUUUAAACCACUUCUCUUUAGGGAGAUCAACGUGAGUAGCAAAAGUUUCACAAAAAGUAGCUACUAUCUUAGAGUCAAGUCCAUACAUAGAGCUAAAUCCACGGAAAGCAUCGGUAUCCAUAAAAGAUUUAACACAAUCAAACUUAGGUGUCAUACCUGACUCCUUACCAUCGGCGGAACCCUAAUCUUUAGAGUUGCGUUUAAUUCUUUCCAAUAAGUCCCAUUUGAAAUCAAUAGUCUUCAGCAUAUAGGAACCAACACAGGAAGUAUCGAGCAGGUUGUGAUUAUCAAGAGAAAGUCGAGCAUAAAAAUUCUGAAUAAUCAUUUCCCGAGAGAGCUCAUGAUUGGGGCAUGUAUAUAACAUUGACUUAGACCUCCCCCAAGGUUGAGCGAUGCUUUCUCCUUCGCAAGGCCAGAAAUAUAUGUAAUUACGAUCACGAUGAACAAGAUGCAUAGGAUAGAACUUCUGGUGAAAUUCCAACUUCAGCCGCUUAUAAUUCCAAAAUCUCGUAUCAUCACAAAGCCUAUACCAUGUCAUUGCAUCUCCCUUCAAAGAUAAAGGGAAGACCUUCCUUUUGACAACAUCAUCGGGGAUACCUGCAAGCUUAAAGAAUCCAAAAACUUCAUCCACAAAGAUAAGGUGUAAGUCGGGAUGCAAAGUUCCGUCUCUUGCAAAAGGAUUAGCUAGCAGUUUUUCUAUCAUACCCGAAGGAAUCUCAAAGUGAAUAUUUUCAUAAGGUUCAGUAGGUUGAGGAGCAUCUCUUUGCUCUUCUGGUUGGGGUGAAGAUACCCCAAACAAGCCCCUCAAAGGAUUAGUUUCCAUAGUGACAAGUAACAGAAAAUUUCAGCACAUUAUAUAAAUGUUUCCUUACCAAGUUCCACUCACCAAAAGUGCUACACUCCCCGGCAACGGCGCCAGAAAAGAGUCUUGAUGACCCACAAGUGUAGGGGAUCUAUCAUAGUCCUUUCGAUAAGUAAGAGUGUCGAACCCAACGAGGAGCAGAAGGAAAUGAUAAGCGGUUUUCAGUAAGGUUUUCUCUGCAAGCACUGAAAUAGUAGGUGAUAGAUAGUUUUGUGAUAAGACAAAUAGUAACGAGCAAAAAGUAAAUAAAUUAAAUUAAAUGCAGCAAGGUGGCCCAACCUUUAUGUAGCAAAGGAUAAGCCUGGACAAAUUCUAAUAAUGAGGAAGGAGCUCCUGAGAACACAUUGGGAAUUAUCGUCAAGCUAGUUUUCAUCACGUUCGUAAGAUUCGCGUUCGGUACUUUGAUAAUUUGAUAUGUGGGUGGACCGACACUUGGGUACUGCCCUAACUUGGACAAGCAUCCCACUUAUGAUUAACCCCUAUUGCAAGUGUCCGCAACUACAAAAAGGAGUAUUAAGGUAAACCUAACCACAACAUUAAACAUAUGGGCCCAUAUCAACCCCUAACGAAGCAACGCAUAAACUAGGGUUUAAGCUUCUGUCACUCUAGCAACCCAUCAUCUACUUAUUACUUCCCUAUGCCUUCCUCUAGGCCCAAAUAAUGGUGAAGUGUCAUGUAGUCGACGUUCACAUAACACUACUAGAGGAAAGACAACAUACAUUUCAUCAAAAUAUCGAACGAAUACCAAAUUCACAUGACUACUAAUAGCAAUACUUCACCCAUGUCCUUAGGAACAAACAUAACUACUCACAAAGCAUAUUCAUGUUCAUAAUCAGAGAAGUAAUAAUAUGCAUAAAGGAUCUGAACAUAUGAUCUUCCACCAAGUAAACCAAUUAGCAUCAACUACAAGGAGUAAUCAACACUACUAGCAACCCACAGGUACCAAUUUGUGGUUUUGAUACAAGAUUGGAUACAAGAGAUGAACUAGGGUUUUGAGAGGAGAUGGUGCUGGUGAAGAUGUUGAUGGAGAUUGACCCCCUCCCGAUGAGAGGAUCAUUGGUGAUGACAUUGGUGAUGAUUUCCCCCUCCCGGAGGGAAGUGUCCCCGGCAGAACAGCUUCGCCAGAGCCCUAGAUUGAUUCCGCCAAGGUUCCGCCUCGUGGCGGCGGAGUUUCAUCCCGUAAGCUUGCCCACGAUUUUUUCCAGGGUAAGAGUGAUGAUAUAGCAGAAGAUGGACGCCGGAGGCCCACCAGGGGGCCCAGGAGAUAGGGGGUCGCGCCCUAUAGGGGGUGCGCCCCCUGUCUCCUGGACAGGGUGUGGGGCCCCUAGCCUAUUUCUUUCGCUCAUAAAUUCAAUAAAUCCAAAAAGUUGUUUCGUGGAGUUUCAGGACUUUUGGAGUUGUGCAGAAUAGGUUUCCAACAUUUGCUCCUUUUCCAGCCAGAAUUCCAACUACCGGCAUUCCCCCUCUUCAUGGUAAACCUUGUAAAAUAAGAGAGAAUAGCCAUAAGUAUUGAGAUAUAAUGUGUAAUGACCGCCCAUAGUGCUAUUAAUAUUGAUAUAAAAGCAUGAUGCAAAAUGGACGUAUCAGGACGCGGUGCUGCGAUGCCUAUGUUCACUAGGAUCUCACGCGACAAUAAUCGGGGGAGGUCAUCUUGCUUCAGCGUGCAUCAGAAAACGGCCAUUGCUAUCUAGCUUGUGUGGCUUGCAUCAGUAGAGCACAGAGCGAGGGAGAGGGACGUAUAAGUCCACUCCCAUGGGAAGAUGUGUGCAAAGAGGUGGCUCGGUCUAUAGUUUUCCCCACUGUCAAAGUGGCUAAGCUGUCAUAUAUUCCAGGGCUUCACCUCGCCUACACAGGCACCACAUUCUAAUUGGUUGUUAAAGGCUCAAAGGUAAUUCAACCAUUGCUUUGAUAUUCCUAGGUUUCCGCUAUGAACUAAUAUUAAGAAAAUUUGUUUAUACAUACGUUGAUGAUCCUUGCAAGUCACAUCACCUCAUGUUUUAUUUCUUUCUGGAACGAGCUGCAACACACGGGCAAGAUGAAGGUUAGAGAAGGCAAUUAAGGAGUGAGAGUCAUGUUGAAGUUGAGUUUGUAUGGUUAUAUAUUUUAAUCCUUGUGCGGGUGGUGUUCUUGAAGUUUCAUUUGGUGUUGCUGUCAGCAGGCUUAUACUUUCAUCAUCUUCUACAUCAAGUAUAGUGGUUAAUUGUUUUGGUCAACUCUGCAUUUCAUUUCCUCAGAAUUACCUCACUGCAUUUUGUGGACAACAAAAGUAACAGUAUGGUAAUUGGUAAAAGUUUUUGGUCCUAUAAUAUCAGAGAGAGAGAGAGAGAGAGUCAGAGAGAGAGAGAGAGAGAGAGAGAGAGAGAGAGAAUUUAGAUAUCAUUUGGUGGUAGCAAGUUCAAGUAAUAGUUUGAACACAUUCAAGAAAUAGUAUAAAGAGAAUGCAUAUUAUUACAUAAAAAUAACGCUGAGAAUUUAGAUGUAUGGUUUGUCAUGGAGCUGUGGCUGGCCGAUUUACAUGAAAUUAAUUCCCUCAGUUGUGGUGGCAAAUUUAAUACACAUAAUCCAUAUUGUUAUCCACUAGCGUGUGUGUGUGUCAAAUAGAUGGAUUAUGAUCCCGUACCCAAUAAGAUGGAUAUGUGUGUGUCUGUGUUAGAGAGAGAGAGGAAGAGGGGGAGAGAGAGUGAGGAAGAGGAAGGGAGAGAGUGUGUGUGUGAGGAUUUGAUGGUAAAAAAGGUCGCCAAUAUCACUUGAUAUGUAUGAGAAUAUUAAAUGUAAUAUUAACAUGAUUAAUAUUAAACUCUUAAAAUUAAUGUGGCCCCGAUGCACGGGCGUUCUUCUACUGUUGCAAAUAGGAAGGCGUGAAAUGGUUUAAAGUCGCCGAAUUCAUUCAUGUCAAGAAUUAAUGUUACAAAUAUGAUGGCCGUUGCGAACCAACAUGUUGGUUGGAUGGUUAGAGGGACUGUGGUAUCAUCAGCCCAUCAAGAUUCAAAUCCUGGUGCUCGCAUUUAUUUCAGGAUUUUCGGCGAAGCGCAUUCAGUGGAAGGAGAUGUUCCCGUCGAUGAUGAGGCGCCUACGGCGGCUUCAUAAAUCUCAAGAUGAUAUGCCGGCUCAGUAUUUCGGAGAUGCUCAUAGGAUAGGAUGUGUGUGAACGCGUAUAUGCGCGUGUAUAUGAGCGCUUGUGUCUGUACUGAUGUUCAAAAAAAAUAGCAAACACCUAGCUGAUCGAUGAUUUUUCUAUCUAAAAUGAAAAAACCUAAACAAUAGAAAGUGUAAAAAAAUAAAAAAAAAUCCAUAGCUGAUCGAUUCUUGCUCUCCUAGAAAGAAGCAAGAAGGCCUACGCGAGCGGCUGCUCUUCAUAGGCGGCCACACCAACAGUAUUUUGCAUACAAGUGAAGAAACAAUAUUUUGCAUAUUAUUUAUGUUCUUUUCUUCCCUUUAAACAAGAUAUAUACUACCUCAUUUUUCAGAGAUUAUUUGACUGAUGUAGUGAAAUUGAUUUGAUAGUGCAUAUACUAAUAUAAUUUUACACUCCCAACAUUUACUUAUACAAAACCACAAACUCGAAUUACACAUAUAAAGGUAAAAAAUUAAUGUCUGAUUUGCUAGCUAGCUUGUCUUCACCGGGUUAAUUAAUAGAACACAUGCAAAUUAGAGGAAAUCAAGGACAGGAAGUACUCCCUCUGUUUUUAUUCACUCCACAUAUUAGGUUUGUCUAAAGUCAAGCUUUAUAUACUUUCAAUAAGUUUGUAGAAAAAUAUAUUAACUUAUACACCAUCAAAUAUAUCUCAUUGGAUUCAUCGAUGCAUAUAUUUUCAAAUCAUAUAUAAAUUUUUUACUCUAAAUAUUCAUAUUUUUUUCAACAAUGCGCCCGGCUUCUUUCUCUGCCGGUAGGGCGCGGUUAUGCGCGCGUUGAUGGCGAAUAGCAUGGGGUCACAAGCUCGGGAGGAGCAGUACACGGCUUCGUCCACGGCAGCAAUGAUGUCAGUGCCAUCAUNNNNNNNNNNNNNNNNNNNNNNNNNNNNNNNNNNNNNNNNNNNNNNNNNNNNNNNNNNNNNNNNNNNNNNNNNNNNNNNNNNNNNNNNNNNNNNNNNNNNNNNNNNNNNNNNNNNNNNNNNNNNNNNNNNNNNNNNNNNNNNNNNNNNNNNNNNNNNNNNNNNNNNNNNNNNNNNNNNNNNNAACUCGCCACUCCUCCAUGAGUUGGCUUGGAGCGGCGAGAUGCUAAACCACGAGUCGGGGUGGGGCAGCAACUUGCUCCCUUGGUCUAGGCGCGGGAGGUGGAGCAGGGAGUUGUCUCGCUCGUAUCCAACUGGGCACCCAGCCGGCCUUUAUGCCGGAGAACUGCUCUUACUGCUCGUCGGAGUCCGGAUUUUGAAGCGGCACACCGGCCGGGAGCACCAUCCGCAUCGUCUCUCGAUGUACGUGCCUUCUCUUGACAUGCAAACGCCACCCGCCAGUCUGCCUCCCAACAAUAAAUAAGCACGGUUGUCGAGAAACGCACUCCGACGCCCGCAUGCGAACGCCAUCCAUGUACAACAAACCCCUGUCAAACUAGAAUUUCAGCAUACCCUAUAUAUACCAUCUAACACCAACUUCAUGGCAACUUUAAUAGCAUUGUCACCCUACUUCAUUCUUUUAUAGCAAAAGAACCAUAUCUUUUUGCCGACAGCGAGAAUAGUUGAAAUUCAAUGGCACUCGAGGGGGGUAAUUCAAUUGAGGAACUACUUAGAGGAUGCGGUUGCCCCUCGCGACAAGGCUCUUGAUCUUCUUGGUUGGUGGAAAGAGAAUGCUCCAAGGUACCCAAUGUUGGCCAAGAUAGCCAAGAGGUUCAUUACUAUCCCGGCUACCUCCGUGUCUUCGGAAUCUACCUUUAGCACGACCGGAAGGAUUUUAGGUAUGUCAACUCAUACUAUUGAACUUUGGAUAUAAACUUGUCAACUUCUCAUCCUCACUCUAGUUUGUCAACUUGUGUCGUAUUAGAUGACUAUAGGAGUUCGUUAAAACCGGUUAUGGUGGAGGCAUUAGUUUGUGGUGCAAGUUAUAUCAAGGGUGCUCAUGUUGACUUGAAUCUGGUGGUAUGUUUGCCAUCUUUUCCUUACCUUUGCUUUAUUUCUUUUUUGGUCUUGUUGUAUGUGAUGUGAGCAUUUGUCUAACUUCCACACUUGUAGCCGAGGGAUGAGAAUAAAGAGGAUGAUGUUGAGAACAUCAAGUUACCCACUGUGGUGGAGGAGAUCAACGAUUGGUAACUAUUCUUCCUACAUGUUUCACUUGUCAUACGAUACCAAAUAUUAUUUAUGUGAAUGUUGCUUAUCUUACUUGUAGACAUUCAUCAUGUGGAUGUUGAUCUUGCUAUUUUGGAGAUGAAUGUCAAAGUGAUCUUUCUCAUGUGAAGGCUACUUUUGCAUUUCUGUUAUGUUUGUCAUGAACUAUGAAUUGUCACUGCUAGCUUGGAGAUGAACCUCUCAUUUGUGUUAUGUUCAACUUGUCAAUUGCCAUGGACUUGGAAUUGUUAGAGCAAGUUUGUAAUCGUGUCGUUCAAUGAUGAUAAGACCUUAUGUUUGUGGAUGUGAUAUUGUGCUUAACCUGAUUUGUGCCAUCUUUCAUGUCAAAAUCAGUUUGUGGAUGUCCAAAAAACAAAGGAAAUGCUGUCCAAAUUUAGUUAUUCUUGCUGUCCAAAAUUAGUCAUGUGCUUGCUGUCCAAUUAGUUGUUUGUGGCUGUGAUAUUCCUGUUGUUUCAGUCCAAAAUUAUGUGAAGAAACUUAUCUGAAAACUGUAGUGAUCAAUGUUUGUGCAUGUGAUUUUUGUGAUAUUGUUCCUCUCAAAAUCAUUUGUUUUGAUGUCCAAAAUACAAAUAAAAUGCUGUUCAAAUUUAGUUAUGACAUACUAGUCAUUAUAAGAAACAGAGCACUCACUAAAUUUGGACAGCCUAAAUUGUGGCCAAAAAGCGCAACAGGGCACUGCUAAAUAAUGGCCAAAACGCUUAAUAAAGCACUCACAGGGACAGCUACAGUCUAAAUACGUCCAAACAGCCUAAACAGUGGCCAACAAAGCACUCCCAGGCUGUUAAACCGAGUCCCAGCCAUCGGUCCCGUUCGGUCCAGUCGGGCUGACCGAGCUUUGCUCCUCUCGAUCCGGUCCUGGAAAUUUGGCUCGCUGGCCACCUCGGUCCGGUCCGGACCGGACCGGCCGGUCCAAAGGCUGGCUCGGUCAAAGCCCGGACCGGACCGGACCGCGUCCACCCUGAGGUAAUUGGAUGUGAGUUAGGCACACUACCUCAACCAUUGAGAUCCAGGGGCCCUCUAAACGCCAGGUUUUGGUCUGAUUUUGCCAUGCGGCUCUCAACUCGAGGACGAACAGAGGAGGGGAUCGGGGGCAAGAGAAGGAGUCGAGAUGAAUGUGUAUUGGAUGGCACGGGUAAGGUACAUAUUAUUCCGCAUCCUUUUUUUUUCAGGGAUGGACCGAUGAAUACGUGUUCAAUCCUAACUAACUACCAGGAGUACCAGAAAAGGGAGCCAGACUCCGACCGGAAACUGAACACGGAACGGUUCGCAAUAAAUCACUACGUGCUGCAAUCGUACACCGAGCCACCGCGCCACGCCCAUAUAGCACGUCGACUAAUACGACAGGCGAUCAGAUAGCACGUCGAUCAAAUUGGCGUCGAUGGCCAGCUUCACGGAAGAACCGUCGUUCUGGUGCCAUGGGUGCAGACGCCUCCACCAGACCCGCGCCGGCGAAGCCGUCUCGGCAUGCCCCGUCUGCGCACCGGCCCCCGAAGCCUACGUCGAGAGCAUCGUCGACGUCGUGGACGAAAGAACGUUCCUCCGUGGCGGCCAGCCGGAGGACCGGCCCGCCGUCGCCCACGCCGAGCCGCUGCCCCUCGUCACGGUCCGCCAAGCGGGGCUCGCGUGCCCGAUCUGCCUGGACGAGCUGGAGCCCGGCGCCCACGCGGCCGAGACGCCGUGCCAGCACGUGUACCAUCCGGCCUGCCUCGCCACGUGGCUCGGGGCCAGAGGCACCUGCCCGGUCUGCCGCUGCAGGUUCGCCGCCGAGGACCACGCGGCCGGCUCCCCGGACGGCCUUAUCCUGUGCGACCUGCGGAACGGACGCUUUGCCCUCGGCCGGCGUACCGCCGGGGAUUGCUUGCGGAUGGUCGGGAUCCUCGACGAGGUCGGCAUGCUCGUGCAGCAUCCCAGCCCGCCGCUCAACCGCGGGCAGCGUGUCGGCUUGAUGCGCUGGUUCAGGGCAAUGCGCGCCAGGUAAGGCGGCCGCGCGAGAGCGCCGUUGCGCCGGGAGAACGUGCUAGCCGGAUGAUAUUGCAACCUGUAGUUUGGCAGUAGCGUUUUUUUUUUUUUUGAAACGGAUGCAAAAGAUUUGCCGCUUCUACUAUUAAAUAAGGGAGAAGAAAGUUUGAAGUUUUACAAAAACACCCACAUAUCGAAAAAGGCUUUCGCCCCGCUUUAUAUAUAAAGCAUAGACCAACAAUGCCCGAUACAACCGCACUCACCCACCGCACACGCACACACGCACCCAAGGCUGGGUACAUAGGCGCUGAGCGCAGCAACACACUCCCUAGCAGUACAAGAACCGCCGGGGACUUCAGCCGUGAACACCGCGAAGAAGUGAAGCCGCAUAUGACGAAUCGUGGGCUCCAAGGCGGCGCCUUCAAGAAGGAUACGACACCGAAGUGCCGCCACCGCCCGAUCCAAGGAUCAGAGUUUUUCCUGGAGCAACACGACGGGCAAUGAUAGCCGCAACGACGCCUUCAAGAAGGGAGCGAUCUUCGCCGUCGCCAGUCCGUCCGAAGAUAGAGUAAGUUUUCACCCCGGCCAAUACUCACCGCCACCGAACGCCACACCCUGGCUACCACGCCGCCCACACGGCCGUGGCAGCCGGGCAGCACCGAGGCAUGAGCUCUGCCCAUGAGCACCGCGCCACCACCACCAGGGUCGCCGCCCCGGAGACCAAGACCUUGACACCAAGUCCUCCGAGCCAGGGGUGCGAAAGGCGGAUCCUUUCCGCUCGUUUCUGCGGUUGGGUUAGAGCACCCACAUACACGGCAUGGCAAUUACUCGUGCAAAAAAAGAAUCCUAGUCUUUUAGCACCGGCAGUAAUCUAGGCUCGCUGGUACUACAACACCAGCUACCAGCACUUCUUGGAGGAAUUUUAUGCUCAUUUUGGGAAAUUGUAAUUGGGGGUUGUGUAUAUGUCAUGCACUCAUGUGACUGAAUCCUUGUGCAUUUUUGAUAACCUUUUCAUUUGCCUUCAGAUUUGUUUCCGACCACAAUUGUUUUAUGAGUAAUGCGACAUGUACAGGAAGGUUGCAUAUGGAUUUAGCUGACAAGCUGACUUGGAAGGAGUAAUGCUAGACCCACUAAGGGAUUAGAAUUAGGAUUUGGCAAGUUACGUGAACCUUUGCAUGUGGUUACGUAGGUUUAUCAUUUUCGAUUGGAAGUGUGCAAUUGGAAGAUAGGGAGAGGGAUGAGCUACCUAAUUAUUCUAGACUAGAAGAACACCCGUGCGUUGCAACAGGGCCACAUUAACUUUAAAAGUUCAAUAUUACGACAUUGGCGACCUUUUUUACCAUCAAAUCCUCACACACUCUCUCUCUCCCUCCCUCUUUCUCACUCUCUCUCCCCCUCUCCCUCUCUCUAACACACACACAUCCAUCUUAUUGGGUACGGGACCAUAAUUCAUCUAUUUCACACACACACGCUAGUGCAUAAUGGAUUAUGUGUAUUAUAUUUGCCAUCAGAACUGAGGGAAUUAAUUUCAUGUAAAUCGGCUAGCCAUAGCUCCAAGAAUAUGCGGAGGAGGUGGCCCGGGUCGGCGUCGGCGCCGUCCGGCGCGGGCCACGGGCCCGCUUCCAAGUGCACGUGCAAUGCACGUCUUUACAAAUAUUAUAACCAGAUGUGAGAAAUCACAUACUAACACGAUGUUGCAAUCAAUUUGUAAUUAAAGAAGCCAAAAGACUUUUUUCUUAAACCAGAAUUCCUUAUGCUGGAGUUUAAACAAACCCCACAAUAACAUGAUCAAUUUUUUUUGCUCUACUUAUCACCUAAUUAAGCAAAUGCAUGACUUAUGAAGAGGAUAAGAAAUCAUGUUAACUUGGGACUAAAAUUCCAACAAAAGAGUGAGGAACAAACCUUGUUAUCAUGGCUCUGAAGUCUGAACCUCCCCCUAUUUGUUAGUGAAAUGUGAGUAUGCUCGAAGAUAAUAAUUUCUUAUGCAACAUAUGCUUUUACAUCUGAAAGAGCUACAAAAUAUGUUGACCUACCUAUGUGCACUUCCUAAAUCAAGCGGAUAAAAUUAUCUCUAUCGGCAAUAUAAAAUACUAAACAUUAGUUCGAAUUGAAUAAUACAGCAAAAUUGUCAUUUCUGACUUUUCAUCCAUCACUGAAUACGAAAGAAAGGGACAAUAUCCACUAACCAUGCAAAUAUUCUGACCAUGGGAUAUUUAGGCUGGCGUAUAUGGGAAAUCAAAGCUAAAAAUGACUCGAUGAGUUAGGGAUACAUCAAUAAAUAUUAUAAAAAGUGAUAAAAACAAAUCUGCAGCAACUCGUGACCCCACGAACUCGUAUUCACAAUGAGCAAGUUAGUGAGGCCGCCACGGUAGGCUAGCACCAAGGGACAAGGGCAACAACCGCCUUCCCAUCCAACCUACUGAUUCUGCUGGCGCUACUUUCAUCCUAAGCCCAUGAGUACCGCUAGUGUGUUGCCACGUACGGAGAAACUACGAACUGAAAUUUUCAUCCAAAUCAUGAAAAAUGUUAAUGUUCCCCUUCUCUCCCAUCCCUCGUGUGAACAUACCCAAUUCGUGGUUGGCUCGCUACAUUCAGCGUAGCUCUGAUGUGCACUGCCAUCGCUCUUGAUUAGUUGCCGCAGUGCCAUGCAUCUACGCCAACAAGUUGGGGAAACAAAUGCAAAUGUUACACCGAGUCAAAAUCAAUCAUCCCACAAUCGUCACAACAGAAAAGAUAAUAACCAAAAUUUAACAGAAGAACUACUGCUUGGCUCCCAGAUCCAUCACGAUAACCCUUGAUCUGGCUGCUGAGCUUCUCCUAGCCGCCUCAACAUCACGUCAUUACCAAAUAUGUAGUGGAUGCCUAGUGGGACAAGGAUUAAGAAAAUAACAUGAGGUGAAAAUACGAUGGCUGUCAAUUCCAUAAGACGAUCCAAGUAAUUUGACAAAACAGAUCGGGAGCAUCUUGUAUAAUCUCAAAAAAGCAACUAAAAAUAUGAGAAAUGAAUUGAUGAAAAUCAGCCCCUGCUCUCAUUCAUGCUUGCUUUUGUAAUGGGAGGCAAGGAAUGGGGAUACUGGGAGAAGAAAGGAGCACAUGGACGGCAAGCCUCCACCACCGGCAAGUGGGGUUGCUUCACAUCCAAUCUCCAUGGCCGCCGCCUCCAUGGGGAGUUUCAACUAGGAGCGGCCCAAUUUGCUUGAGAGUUUCUUUUUUUAUGUUUGUGGGAAAAUCUUUGAAAUUCUAUAAUAAAUUUGAAAAUCAAGCUCAUCUUUUGGAUUCGUUAAAAAAUAGAAUUCUCAAACAAUUAUUGGGAAUCAAGAACAUGUAUUAGAAAUCAUUAAAAAAAUAUUUUAAUACAAAUUCCUGAAAACAAUUUUAAAUCAUGAAUAUUCUAGAUUUUGUGAAUAUUUUUUGAAACACCUGAACACUGUUAUUGAAUUGGCGAUCAUUAUUUGAAUUUGGGUAUCAUUUUUGAAAUUCACAAACAUUUUUUUGACAAACGUUUUCUGAAUUCAUGACCAUUUUUUAAGAUAGGAACAUUAUUUAAAAUUUUGGGACAUUUGUGAAAUUUACAAACAUUUUUUAUAAUAUUGUGAACAUUGUUUUCUUAAAUUCCUGAAUGUUUUUUGAAUUAUUGAACGUUUGUACAAAAUCUCGAACAUUUUAUGAUUUACUGAACAUUAUUAAGAAAUGGUGACAUUUUGUGAACUCGUGAAUAUUUUUGAUUUCUUGAAUAUUUUUGAAAUUCCCAUAUUUUGGGGGGAAUUUGAGGCUUUAUUGAAAUCCGGAAUUAUUAUGAAGCCAUAUCUGAAAAAUAUAAAAGUAAAAAGUCAGAAACAAACGAAACAGCUAACCACACACAAGAUAAAUAAGGAAAAAAAACGAAGCGCAAAAACCCGAAAGAAAGCAAUUCUGCCAAUGGGCCGGCCAGUUUUGCUGCGUCUUCGCCUAUUUGCCGCGUGCGGGCGGCGAAUAGGGUUGCCGGAUCCCUACGUCUUGCAGGGAAGCAAUCUGUUUCUGAGUUGUUCAAAGCUCACUGCACGCACGUAUCUUGGCUUUCUGCUUUGCUCGAGCUGGGAGAUUAGACGGCCCUGCAUCAGUUCGGUUUGACUAAAAUCAUAUAUACGCGACGGCGGGCUAACACACAGCGGAUGCAGCAAUGAAAGAGGGGCAUAUCUUCGCGCCGGUUACACAAGUUGCUGGGCCGUGGCGUAUGUGAUGAAGUCCAGUCAUGAAGAAGAGACGGCAGGAAAGAGAGACCUAUCGAUCGCCGUGCUGCAACAGCGUUCAGCGAGUGACCCAGCGUGCAAAACAGGGUCCACACCGUUGGACAUGUUAAUUUGUCUAUCUUUGGCGUUGCCCCCAGUCUAGUUGUUCAUCGAAGUGCCUUGCCCUAGCUAACGGACGGACCUCGUGUCAGGGGGAUUAUAUUAUACUAGUAAACAUGCCCGUGUGUUGCAACGGAAGAGAAAAAUUUUACACGCUAGCGAAAUAAGUUUGACUUAAUACCCUGUUAAAUGAGCGUCCUCUAUUUGAACACAGUGACUCGCCAUGUUGCGAACAUGUUUUAUAAUUUGCGAACAUUUUUGUAAAAUCGCUAUUAUUUUUUGAAACUGCAAAAAAAUUAUGAUUUCCCACACAUUUUUGAAUUCACAAAUAUUUUAUGAUUUCUCAAACAUGUUUUUCAAAAUUUGCAAUGUUUUGAAAUUUGAAAAUCUCGAAUAAUUUUAAAGAAGGAAACAACAACAAAAAAAGAAAUGAGAAAGAAAAGAAAAAAGACAAAAGACAAAGGUUGAAAUGAAAACAACAGGGAGUCACGCCCUGCGGGCCGGCCCAUGGACACGCACAUGAUGACUCAGUGACUCAUCAUGUUGCCACUUAUCUUUCUUCCCACCCUCGUUGAUGAUGGAUGCGAUGUCCACGUGAUCGCAAUGUAGUCGAUAUUGGUAAAUCCCAAGGCAAUGAACUUGCCACUGCACGACCCACUUUAAAAAAUUUCAAAAUAAAUCUCGUCGACCAUAAACUUGCAAUUUUUCAAAUUUUUUCAAUAUUUUCAAAAAUUGCAUGGACAUUUUGGUCAGAUUCGCGAAUUUGUUUUGAAUAAAGUUUUAUUUUUUCGAAAUCAUGAACAUGGUUUUAUUUCCCGACAUUUUUUUCCAAAUUGUGAGUUUUUAAUAAUUUGCGAACACUUCUGUAAACUCACUAAUAUUUUUGAAACUAUGAUCUUUUAUGAUUUCCCACAUAUUUAUGAAAACACAAACAUUUUAUGAUUUCUCGAAUAUGUUUUUAAAAAUUCACAACAUUUUGAAAUUUGGAAAUCUCAAAUUAAUUUAAGGAAGGAAAAAAUGAGAAAAGAAAAUAAAAGAGAAGAAAAAAGACGAAAUGCAAAAGAGAAAAAAACAGAGGCAUCACGCCCUGCGGGCCGGCCCAUGAGCGCGCACCUGGUGGGGAGGGAAGCCGUGGUCCAUGAGGAUAUAUUUGAGAGCCCUCAAUCCACUCAUCAUUUUAUCCAGGCCUAUAUGAAUGAUCUUCGGUUAAUACAGCAAGAUAGAAGCAUAGUACGGCCGAGGGAGGGAGGAGCACGGCCAAGGACAACACAGUGGAUUCACCCACCAGGAACAAUGUGCAAGAUCAAUGUAGACGGUGCUGUUUCUAAGAAUCAGAAGAGAGGAACUGCAACGGCAAUAUGCAGAGACCACACUGGUAAUUUCCUUGGGGCUUCGGCCAUACUUGUGCGGGGUGUGUACGACCCACCGACGCUAGAAGCGCUUGCUGUUCGGGAGGCUCUAGCCCUGGCCAAAGAUCUGAACUUGCAGAAUCUACACGUUGCAUCAGACUGUAAAGUGGUGAUUGAGGACAUGAAGGAGCAAAACCCAGCUGGUUAUGGUGCAAUUCUACAUGAAAUAACUGACCUUGCGAAUGGUUUCGUAGAGUGUAAUUUUGUUCAUGAGUAUAGGAGCUCGAACUUCGAGUCUCACAAUCUAGCGAAGCAUGCUUUAAAGUUAGGGGCGGGCUGCCAUGUUUGGUUAGGACACCCCGGUAAUCCCGUUUUUGUCCCUGUAAACAUUUAUCAGGAUAAAUAAAGCUUCGCGUGAUUGUCUCAAAAAAAAAAAUGAACGCGCACUGGGUGGGGAGGGGGAGCCGAGUGACAAAAAGGUGGGGAAAUUCGGCGUAACCUAAGGUUAGAACCCUGGUGUUCGCGGUGCAAUCGAAAGACUUUAGCCACCGUGCUAUCUCUGUGUGUGUGUGAUUUAAAUGCAGUAUCAUCUCUAUAAAACAACCUCGCAUGGCGGUGAAUUUAAAACGAAUCGUUUUUUAACUUACAGGGUGGCAUUGAUGGGUAAUUGCUGUCAACUUAUAUAGGGCAAAUUACAUGACGCACGACCAGAAGAAAUACUUGCUUUAGUAUUAUUAGGGUAGAUACGCUCCUACUUAUAAGAAAGAGCCUCACCUCACCUCAAGGGUGCAGUGUAGCCGUAGCGAGCUCUGGUUGCGACUAAUUAACGCGCAUAGCAAUAGCAUGCACUGCAUGGCUACGUACGUGACGUGAAACCGAACCAAUUGCAACCAGAGAGGCCGAGCAGCCCCAGCGCGCGCGCGUGUGUGUGUCUGCGUGUGUGAGCAUGUGUGUCCCAAAGGCCAACCGAGAGAGGCGUGUGGCUUUCUCCGUCCGGCGUCCGUGCGCGAGCUUAGCCUGUCCUGUCUCCUGCGUACGUGCGCACGUACGCACGGGCAGCAUGCAGCACGUACGGGAAGCAACCGUGUCCGUCGGCCUACACGCCGCCGAUGCUACCGGCCGGGCCGGCACACAACGGCACGGUAUGGCGACCGGGUGCUGUCGUCGUACGUCAUGCUCGUACGCCCCCCUGCUCGUCUAUCUCAAACAGACCUGCAAAUUGGCUAGACAAGACACGCGGUGGGUGCAUUGCACGUACUACGUACGUACCGGCCGCUCCUAACUGCAUUGCAAACUUAACAUAACCGUACUAUCUUCUGCAACCCACCAAAUCAUCAAAUCGAGAUGAACCUAUAUAUAGUUACACAACUAACAUGAACCAAAUUAUAUCUACCGUCAAGCAAACUUUUCUCGUAUCAGUAGAUUUCUACAUGUUUGAUUCAUUCUUUCCGACGCAAUAUAGGAGUAUUAUAUAUAGCUUUAAGCCUUUAACGGAACAUCAUAAGCAUCCAUUACUCGUUGCCCGAGCCUCUGACGCCAUGUCGACCCGGUAGAUCUCCACGUUUCUUUUGCUAUAUAUCGUCGGCGUUAUCGAGCUCGACAAGCACGUGUUUUUUUCUUGCGGGGGACAAGCCCAUGGUUUUAAUGGUUCGGUGUUUCAACACAGUUGUGGUUGGUUUUGCUAUAUCACCACCUUUUCAAAGACGUACAAUCUCAGUUUACUGAGAAGCGCAAUUUACAUUGAUUUACACUGUUCUAAAUCAGUGUGACCUCAUAACAAAGAUACUUUCUUUGAUUCAUAUCAAUUGUCGCUGAUUUUGUGCAUUAAUAUGGAUAAAAUGGAGUAUUGAAUUUAAAUAUUCCUAUAAACAGAACUAUUCAUUUUGUAAUGGAUUAUGCAGCUGGACAAGGACAGGGUGCAGGCGGCCAAGUGCCGUGUGCGUUUAGUCGUCUGAUGAAGAACAAAAUUGAUGUUUUGACCCUUUUGUGAAAGUUGAAUCAGAUCUGACCUUCGUUUGAUUUUCUUUUUCAAGAUUUGAUUCUUUUCCUACUGACGGGGUCGAUGACGGUGGGGCAUAACUGCGACCGUCGAGGUAGGCUCGAGGUAGGAUUGCACGUCCUACCGCCAAAAAAAUCAAAUAUUGAAUACAAAGCUUGUAACCACAUACCGACGGGUACCUUAACGGUAGGGUUACACAUGCUACCGCCAGCCAUUUUAGCGACAGGGCUAGAAGUUGCCUACCGUCACGGGCCUCGGUGGCAGGCUAGUAUACCCUACCGUCAUCGUCGCCCAUGGCGAUAGGAAAAAAAUCAGAUCCUGAUUUUUUUUCUGAAUCAGGGUUAAAUCUGGCUCAACUUUCGCGAAAGGUUGCACUCCCAUGAACAGGGUUGCUUAUCGUGCUUGCAUGCUGGCCGUGCACACGUUGGCACGCGCACAGGAGGGAAGACACGCAAAGCGCAAUCACGUUCCGUGGUUGCUGCCCAGAACUCGGACCCACCACGAUCUCUCUUUGCUUCACGUCACGUGGCCGUGCAUGCAUGCACGUCGAAUCCAGAGCAGGCGCAGUUUUCGAUGCAAAGAGUAGAGACCAAAGCUGUAGCAAAUGGCCGAAUCGUCUCCUCUGCUGCUUCUGGCCGGUCGUACGCCAUUGAGCUGUACGUCGAGCUAUAGCUAGCCUGACGCGACAUUAGAUGUACGGCCCUGGCCUUUCUGCCAUGCACGUCAAGGACUAUGAACAGGCUCGAUCCUUCGGUGCAAAGACAGACAGGCAGAUACGUCUACUGGUGCGUGCCUUCUUUUGCACGCUGGGUCGCUGCCUGCUCAGUGCUCACGUCCUGCUGUGCUGUCUUCUUUGUUUUCGUUUUCCUAUUUGCUACGAGUAGUUCUCUAGAAUAUCACAUGAAAACUAAGUUUCAGUAGAAAUUGAUGAAAACCACGGUGUAAACAAUAUUUUAGUUUUGAAAAAAAAUCUUUAGAUACGGAAUGUUAAGAGUGCGAUGUUCAAUUAGCAUGUGAAAUUUCAAAGUUCAUACACAUUACUAUUGACGAGGUACAAAAAAAAUGUGUUGAAGACUGCCAAACAGUAAAUGUCAUUAUUCCUUGCUAAAUUUGUUCUUUUCAUAGCUUGCAAAUGGUAAUAUAUUUGAACUUGGAAUUUGCAUGGCAAUAGUAAAUAUAUCAAUCUCUUAACAUCAUGUAUUGUUUAGUUUUUGUUUUAACUUUCAAAUGUGGUUUCCAUGAAGUUUUCUUUGAAACUUGGUUUCCAUGUGAUAUUCUAUGUCGUGUCUAAACCUCUCACCACCUCUCAAAACAGUAUUACGAUGUUUCAAUAUUCGUGCAGACUAUCGAGCUCUCCUGCUCACGCUGUGUCUGUGUUUUCUGCAUCGCGUGCUUCGUUUUUCGCUUGGGUUGUUUUUUGUGAUGCUCCUGGAAACAUGUAAUUUAUGUAUCUGUGUUUGGGUCAUACGGGUCCUCUGUUGUUUAAGUGGGUUGUGAUUUUCAUUAUAUAUUUCUGGUAUGUGAAUCCAAGAUUCGUUAUUGCACAUCAUAUACAUGUGUGUGUGUGGUUAUAACAAAGCACAACGUCCGCUCUAGCGCUCCAAGACUUGUCUUAUUUUCUGGAGCGCGCGUGCAGAUUUCCGUUCGGGCAUUCUCCUUGUUGCUGGCCACAUUUUCGCUGGACCGUUGUCGGUGUGUGAGGUUUUUUAGUUCAUGUGUUGUUGCGUAUCACUAGUAGAAAAAGAGGCUUCCGUCCAGCCUCAUUAGUCGCGAAACUGUAGGAACCGCGACUAAUGAAGUCUUCAGUCGCGGUUCGGCAGAUGAACCGCGACCAAAUGCCUGGGCCCAGGGCGCUCGCGGGCUUUAGUCGCGGUUGGCCAGGCCAACCGCGACUAAAGGUGCCCAAAGGNNNNNNNNNNNNNNNNNNNNNNNNNNNNNNNNNNNNNNNNNNNNNNNNNNNNNNNNNNNNNNNNNNNNNNNNNNNNNNNNNNNNNNNNNNNNNNNNNNNNNNNNNNNNNNNNNNNNNNNNNNNNNNNNNNNNNNNNNNNNNNNNNNNNNNNNNNNNNNNNNNNNNNNNNNNNNNNNNNNNNNNNNNNNNNNNNNNNNNNNNNNNNNNNNNNNNNNNNNNNNNNNNNNNNNNNNNNNNNNNNNNNNNNNNNNNNNNNNNNNNNNNNNNNNNNNNNNNNNNNNNNNNNNNNNNNNNNNNNNNNNNNNNNNNNNNNNNNNNNNNNNNNNNNNNNNNNNNNNNNNNNNNNNNNNNNNNNNNNNNNNNNNNNNNNNNNNNNNNNNNNNNNNNNNNNNNNNNNNNNNNNNNNNNNNNNNNNNNNNNNNNNNNNNNNNNNNNNNNNNNNNNNNNNNNNNNNNNNNNNNNNNNNNNNNNNNNNNNNNNNNNNNNNNNNNNNNNNNNNNNNNNNNNNNNNNNNNNNNNNNNNNNNNNNNNNNNNNNNNNNNNNNNNNNNNNNNNNNNNNNNNNNNNNNNNNNNNNNNNNNNNNNNNNNNNNNNNNNNNNNNNNNNNNNNNNNNNNNNNNNNNNNNNNNNNNNNNNNNNNNNNNNNNNNNNNNNNNNNNNNNNNNNNNNNNNNNNNNNNNNNNNNNNNNNNNNNNNNNNNNNNNNNNNNNNNNNNNNNNNNNNNNNNNNNNNNNNNNNNNNNNNNNNNNNNNNNNNNNNNNNNNNNNNNNNNNNNNNNNNNNNNNNNNNNNNNNNNNNNNNNNNNNNNNNNNNNNNNNNNNNNNNNNNNNNNNNNNNNNNNNNNNNNNNNNNNNNNNNNNNNNNNNNNNNNNNNNNNNNNNNNNNNNNNNNNNNNNNNNNNNNNNNNNNNNNNNNNNNNNNNNNNNNNNNNNNNNNNNNNNNNNNNNNNNNNNNNNNNNNNNNNNNNNNNNNNNNNNNNNNNNNNNNNNNNNNNNNNNNNNNNNNNNNNNNNNNNNNNNNNNNNNNNNNNNNNNNNNNNNNNNNNNNNNNNNNNNNNNNNNNNNNNNNNNNNNNNNNNNNNNNNNNNNNNNNNNNNNNNNNNNNNNNNNNNNNGGAAGGCAGAGGCAGGUGUAGCUGACUCGGCAUUUGAAAACUUGCUGAAAAUGUUGAAGAAUAUGUUUCCAAAGGAUAACGAGUUGCCCGCCAGUACGUACGAAGCAAAGAAGGUUGUCUGCCCUCUAGGUUUAGAGGUUCUGAAGAUACAUGCAUGCAUCAACGACUGCAUCCUCUACCGCGGUGAAUACGAGAAUUUGAAUGAAUGCCCGGUAUGCACUGCAUUGCGUUAUAAGAUCAGAGGCGAUGACCCUGGUGACGAUGUUGAGGGCCAGAAACCCAGGAAGAGGGUUCCCGCCAAGGUGAUGUGGUAUGCUCCUAUAAUACCACGGUUGAAACGUCUGUUCAGGAACAAAGAGCAUGCCAAGUUGUUGCGAUGGCACAAAGAGGACCGUAAGUCGGACGGGGAGUUGAGACACACCGCAGAUGGAACGCAAUGGAGAAAGAUCGACAGAUGGUUCAAAGAUUUUGCAGCUGACGCAAGGAACAACCCGGGGAAGCCUGAAUCCUGGGUUAGGAAGGCCCACAUGGAGACUUUCGGCAGUUGGUUGAGAAAACAUUUAAUGAAUAACAAUGAUGUUGUAGAUCAGCUGUACAUGUUGGCCAAGACACCAUCUUCAACUAUAACGACUUUCCAAGGGUACGAGAUAAAUGGGAAUACAUUUUACACGAUCGCCCAAGAUAAAAAGAGCACCAACCAAAACAGUGGUGUCCGCUUUGAUGCAGCAACCGAGAAUGGGCAAAAGGUCACAUAUUAUGGUUACAUAGAGGAGAUAUGGGAACUUGACUAUGGACCCUCCUUUAAGGUCCCUUUGUUCCGGUGCAAAUGGUUCAAGCUAACAGGAGGUGGGGUAAAGGUGGACCAGCAAUACGGAAUGACAAUGGUGGAUUUCAACAAUCUUGGUUACCUUGACGAACCAUUCGUCCUAGCGAAAGAUGUCGCUCAGGUUUUCUAUGUGAAGGACAUGAGUAGCAAACCGAGGAAACGGAAAGAUAAGAAAACGAUCAGUACAUCAUGCGAUGAUCCAAAGCGCCACAUUGUUCUUUCAGGGAAAAGAAACAUCGUCCCGUCACCUACACCUCCGUCACGUCAGCCGACGCCCCCCAGUCCACAACGUCCGGCGGGUGAUCAGACGCCGCCCCCCAGUCCUCGUCCGGCGGGUGAUCAGACGCCGCCCCCCAAUCCACCUCCGGCAAAGAAGCAGAAGCAAUCCUGGAUUAUUAACCCGGACCCUUAUGUACCUAAGACCACAAAGGUACCGGAGCCAUCAUUGAAGCCUCUCCCCACAAGGCCUUGGGAACGUAGUGCCGAGGAAACUGCCACGGCCGCGGCUGCUGAUCAUGAGAAAUGGAAGGCGGACUGCAAGAAGAAAAGAGAGCCCGAGCCCAAGCCAGUAUUUUCUGAUGAGCAAAAGAAGUGGGCUAAGUCAUUUUUGAGCACACCGUCCCAAGCCGCGAAGAAUCUGCCUGACGACUAUGCACGUGAACUUCGUAGGCAGGCACUCAUGUUGAAGGAGAAGAAAGAGCGGGCGGAGAACCAGGAGAACAAAGCCUUGGAGGAGGCCGAGAAAACGGAAUUAGAAAGUAAAAAAAGCGGGAAAUGAGUUGCCCAGCUCGGGGAACAAAGUAAACAAUCGAUUGCCCCGCUUAUAGUGAAAGCCGCCGGUCCGGAUGACCCCGAUAUCAUAGCAGCUGCGGCAGCACAUGGAUUGACUGUAACGAGUGCCAGAGAACAAGCGGCCAACUUAGGUAUUACUCUUCGUGAACUGUUAGGCCUUGAUGAGGCGCCAGUGAAGGAGGUAGUAAUUACAUAUGUGAAGAAUGGGCCUCUCGUCGAGCCUGCGCAGGAACAGGAUCUACCUCCACAAAUGAAAGGUCUGCUGAAAUGGUACAAGGGUUACAUAAAAAAUAAAAACGCCAAAGAAUAUAUUUAUGCGGAAGUUAGAUAUGAGCAUCACUUCAAACAUUACUAUGUACAAAUUCAUCUGAGUGAAUUGUUCCAGCUUUUCAAUCUGCGCGAGCUCGACAAAUCUAUCAUCACUUGCUACGUUCUGUAAGUGAUUUAUUUCUACCCCAUCUCGUUCAUAUUGCCUGCACUAUAUAUAUGUCCUAACUAUAUUGUUGUGUCCGCUAUUAUACAUGCAGAAUGAAGAUUAAGGAAUGCAGAGUAAGGAACAUCCAUAAUGUUGGGUUCAUUGACCCACACAUCGUUAAUGGAUAUGUGUUGGAGCAUCACCCCGCCGACAUGGAGGCAGACCUGUGGCAGUUUCUUACAAAGCAGGAACUCAAAAGUGAUAUUCUAUUUCCUUACCAUUUUGGGUGAGUGUUUCUGUCUUGAGCACAUUCUCUUUUGUUUACUCCAUGCAUGGUAUGUGGCCGGCUAAUCGAUGAGUUAUGCAUGACGUACUGUGCAUGUAUCGUGUCCGCAGGUUCCACUGGAUUCUGCUAGUAAUUAAAGUUAACACCUCAGAAUGUCUCGUCCACGACUCUGUGAAUAUGGAUCCAAAGCUUUGGGGCGGCAUGAGAAGAAUGAUGCAGAAGUAAUUAUUUUCAUUCAUUUGCGCUCUAUAUCGAUCGGCCUAUUUCGUUCAUUUCCUAAUAUCAAGUAACUAAUUAAUAACUCUCUUGUUCAUUUAAUUUUCUUUGCCUCGUAGGGUUUGGAGACGGUUCGUAGAUACAAAGGUCGGUGAAUUCAAAAAAGAGCUAGAAUUCAAAAUGUUAAAGGCUAAGCAUGCUGGGGAUAUUCAGCCACCGGAGACCAAUCUAUGUGGAUACUAUGUUUGUGAGAUGAUCCGGAGAUACACCUCUGAGCGGGUUCCGAGUGAUACCAAUGCUCAGAGGAAUAACCUCCGGUGGAUGCUUAGUCCAGAAGCUCGCUUCCGACCACUUCAAGAGGAACUAGCUGGAUGGUUCAGCAGGGAAGUCCUCCAUCCUAAAGGAGAACACUAUUACGAGGACGUAGAACUUUAUAUGCAUUAAAUCAUGUAUGGAAACUUGUUCAAAAUUGUAUAUGGUCAUCCGAUGAUAUUGAAUAUAUAUUGUAUAUUCCUCUUGAAUUCUUUUUGGUUCUAAUUUCAAAUUUAUUUGAAAUUGUACAUUCAUAUGCAUGUAUGUAGUACCGUAGAAUAUAUGAAACUCCUUCAAAAUUAAAAUAAAGCACAAAAGAAAUAAAACAAUACAAAUUAAACAGAAAACAGGUUUAGGGGGGGGGGCUAAAACCCUAAACCUGCGGCGGCCUUUAGUCGCGGUUGGCCAGAAGAACCGCGACUAAAGGUCCUCCGCCCCGACGGCCACCUGGCGCCCACGUGGACGGGCCUUUAGUCGCGGUUCUUAAGCAACCGCGACUAAAGGGGGGGGGUCUUUAGUCGCGCCCGUUCGGUCGCGGUUGCGCAACCGCGACUAAUGGCAGUUGCGAACCGCGACCAAAGACCCUUUUUCCACCAGUGCUCCUUUUUAAAAAAACCUUGAAGGCUCACGCAACCUAUAAAGGUCAUCCAAUUCCCUCGCCGCUUGCAUCAGACAGACACACGCCGACGCUGAAUUACUCAGAGUCACUAGAGUAGCCAGCGAGUAGGCUCGCAUUGCCUCUUAUUUUUCUCUUUGUAGCGAUUAAGGCUCUCAAUGAUGACAACGCAUCAUAACGGCCUACAUAUGUCACUCGGAAGAUAAAGAUGUGAAUGAGCGGCAUCGGAAAAGUCUCGUAUGCAAACAUGUGGUUUUGCGGUGGGGUAGCAGAAGAGUAGCACCGCCACAAACAAAACAAAUAGUCAUCCUGGUCUACCAAGGAAUGUUGCUAUCCAGUGCCUGUCGGCCUAGCAUGCCGGUGGCCUAGCUCUGCCGCUAUCCAAUGCCUGCACACACAGCGAACAUUGCAAUUCAAGCCCGUCGAUAUCCUGGACACAGUAUGAGCUCGGGCGAGCAACGAGAAAGGAUAGCAGGCCCGUAUACCACUGGUCUGGGCUCAAUCACAGCGGCUCAAUCACUAUAACCUGACUGGAGACGUGCGAGAGUUGUCACAAGUUGCCCGUGUGGAGUAGAAUAUCUGGGCCGAAGGUGAAAAAAAUAGAAAGAAAAGAAACAAUUCUAGACGGACAAGAUGGUAUAGAUUCAAACAGAGAUAUCUUAAGCCACUAAAACGUAUAUUUUAUGAAAACCACUCUAAAAUAGUUAGAUAUAAAACAUGACUUCUGCAAUAACGACCUCAGCUCUCUCAAAUCUGAACAGCGGUGAUGCCUCAUGCGCUCUUGGUUUAUAAGCUAGAUCCUCUAAUUUGAGGGGAUGUUUUGCAAAAUCAUUGUGCAUAUCUAUUGCAUGGAAUCCAUAAUCGCGUGUAUGCAGGAGACAUGAUGAUACAUCACUACUAGAUUCAUGUUGAGCCAUUCACUUUUGUUUUCGAGGAGAGUUGAGAAAUUCACAAUUUUUUGUUGUUGAGAAAUUCACAGGUGGAGCAAUGAUAAAUGACAUUAAAACUUAUUAGGGCAUAAUGCUUGGUGGAGGCUUGCUAACAGUUGCCCGGCCUGACCACCUCCUUGGGGUUUGCAUGUACGUCGUAUGGUUGGCAUUACUCUUGAAUGCCCCUCGUCUUGCGUGAUCCAUGGUUAAUGAACGUCUUUGCUCAUCGUUGCUUUGUCCGGCUAUAGAUGACCUGGACAACGAUUUCUCAUCCGAGUUGUCGAAACUAGCAGAUAAUUAAAACCAUCACAAUAGUAAGUAGACAAUGCCUUUGACAAUGUAGCAACGUAAGUCUGUCGUUCUUGAGCCCAACAAAUAAACGUCAGGUCAAGAGUUUUCAUCCCUAACAUGAAGAGGUGCUUCAUCAACAUCUUGAUGACAGAUCGAUCGGUAGUUGCAUUCGCCAGUACUCCACGCCAGGUCAAAACAAUACUAGCAGAUUGGUGGGACGUUUCGCACUUAAGACAAAUGUCACAACCGUCUAGUGACCGCUCAAGUCUCGGUGCAGAUCUGGCCGCUGCAACUACACAAUGGUGUGAGUCACACCCCAACAUCCACCAUACCAUUGGCGCCGCCGCCCCAGUGCUAGAUGUCGGUGGAGCAUCGCCGGUGUGCCCCUUACACAUCAGUGCUGGAGGUUGUCGUUGACGCCACGAACCUCCUACGAUGGCCGCUACACUCGCGCUAGAUCUUCUUGUCAUGGUCGUCAAGGGCUAUUGCCCCUGUCACAAUGACUAGUGGAGGCCACCGCAAUCGUUACAUGUGUCGCUGUAAUGAAUGACGUUAUGGUCGGACGCCGCCAUCGAAGCAUCAUCUCACAUCGUUGGAUUCCAGCAGAGAGAUCUCAGAACACUUAAAUGUAUAUUUUAUGAAAACCGCCUUAUAAUAGUUAGAUAUAAAACAUGAGUUCUGCAAUAACGGCCUCAGCUCUCUCAAAUCCGGACAGCGUUGACGCAUCAUGUGCUCUUGGUUGUACAAGAUCCUUUAAUUUGAGGGGAAGUUUUAUAAAAUAGUUGUGCAUAUCUACUCCAUGGAAUCCAUGAAGGAGAGUAUAUAGAAUUCAGAGUGCCUAGACUGCUCUCUACCAUCACGUCAAGAAAUCUGUAAAUUUCAGACCGCUCGAGAGGCCAUGUGGCCACAAUCACUACUGGAAAAAAUAUAUGCACCGAGUGUUUUGGCAUAUGCCGAGAGGCAACGCAAGGAUGUCGGGAUCUCGGCAAUCAUGAUUAGCCCGAGAGCUGCAGUCCGCGAAGAGCAGCACAUGGCAAAGACAUGCCGUUGCCGAGACAACGCUAAAAUGUACACUGGAUAGAGAAAAGACUCGGCGAACACGACAUACGCCAAGAGCCGAACAGUAAGGGCAUGUCCAUUGCAUAGACGCUUGGGUAGACGCUUAUGGAUAAUAAAUAAAAGGAUUAUCCUCAGGCGCUCGUGUAAGAGCCUUGACCUACAACGCUGAGAUGCUUCGAGACGCUAGUUCACCUAGGCAAAACCAGCUACUCGUGAACUGUAGGCGCCUGCUGCCAAGUCUAGCAUCUGUGCCUUGGAGGCGCCAGGAUUUUUUCUCUGCACAGACCAAACGGCCAGGAUUUUGGUCCCUAGCGCCCAUGAUAAGCAUCGCGUUGUACAUGCCCUAAACAUACAACAAUAAGUUACCACGUGAUAUAUUCUUUCGCGGCUAAUGGCUCCAUGACAAUAGCGUAUUUUUGCCGAGAGCUCAUAUCAGGAACUCGGGAUAUAUUUUCAAAUAAUCAUUUUCUUUCGGUCAUUUCCACAUGGGCCCACAUGUCAUUGACACAUUCUUCCAUGUCUAGUCAGUAACCAAGUGAACACACCCUGGCCCACUUGUUACACACUGUUUCUGGUAAUUAUUUUCUUUUAAUAAUUUAAAUCUAGAAAUGUUUAAAUAUUUCAAAUCUAAUUCAAAUUCAUACCUAUGAUGUUUUUGCCGAGUGUUGAUGCUCUCGGUAAAGAAAUUUAGUUGGCAAUAUAAGUCAGGUUCCAUCUUUGCCGAGGGCUGCCUGUCGGCUAAAAUUAUUCUUUCGACUGGGGCUCUCGGAAGCGCCCGAUCUGCCGAGAGCUGCCUCUCAGCAAAGGCUUCGUUUCCGAGUGGUGCUCAUGGGAAUAUAUUCCGGUGCUGCUGUUGUCAAUUUAUCUCUUAUUUAAUCACUGCAAUUGAAAACAUAUUCUGGUCGCUUUAUUUUGGCCGAGAAAUUCCCAUUGUUCUAGGCAAAGUGUAUGCCAAGUUGCUAACGGACGAUUCCCGACAAAGUUUUGUUUGCCUGAGGGGUGUAUACACCGAAUGCCCUUUUCCCGAAACUGUUCUUGGGAAACGCAUUGUUGGCCCUUCACCGAGUCCGAGUGUCAGUCCGUGACACUCGGCAAACCAAGCGUUUUGAUUAGUGAAUUCUUACCUAUGCAAACACUCACAGCUCAUAACCAACCAUAUGGUAGUCAGGGUGGUCCAUGGCCUGCCUGGGAUUCGGCCCAUUAGUUCAAUACUUCGGUUUAAAAAAAAAACAGCAGGCCUACACAAGCCCACGAAACAAGUGACCGAUUGAUUAUUUCUUCUCCUGAGCCUCAUUGUGUGAUGCACGUUGCUUUGUUCUCCCAAUUGGCUGCACAGCGAAACAGACUUAGAGGAUCUUCAACAGAUGAUGGAAACUGACCAUGGUGUCCAAAAAAACUGGUGUUUGUGGCAAUUUCGGGUAGAAAUUCUGCUCAAGCAGAUGACACUGGUGGAAAAACAGGCUUCCGUCCAGCCCCAUAAGUCGCGAAGCUGUAGGAACCGCGACUAAUGGGACCUUUAGUCGCGGUUCUGGAGGUGAACCGCGACCAAAGGCCUGGGCCCAGGGCGCUCGGUGGCCAGCUGGCGCACGUGAGGGUCUUUAGUCGCGGUUGGCCAGGACAACCGCGACUAAAGGCCUUCGGGCACCUUUAGUCACGGUUUGCCAGGCCAACCGCAACUAAAGCCCCUCCCCUAUAUAUACCCAUCCAGCAGCCAACACUUAGCCAUUUGGAGCCAUUCUCUUCACAAGUGGGUGUAGGUUUGCUUUUGGUUCCUCUUAUGCACAUAAGGUGUUUGAUGAAAUGCCCCAAGAGCAUGAAACAAACAUGACAUGAAGUGUUGGAGCCACACUCCUCGAUCGCGGUUAGCAACUUGAUGAACCUUUGAUGUGUCAUUGAUAAAAUAUGCGUGUGUGCAGUUCAUUGUUUAAUUUAUAUUGUUUGUAGCUAGUUAGUUUAACAAAUGCAUGAUGGUUAAUUAUAUAUUUUAUAUUAUAAUAAUGCAGAUGAAUCGGCAAUGGAUGUACGGUAACCGACUCUCCGGCGAGUUCACUACGGGUUUGAAAGAUUUCCUCGUAGUGGCUAAUGCGAACAAGCAGGGGGGUUUUGUUAUCUGUCCAUGUGUUAUCUGUAAGAAUCAGAAGGGUUACUCUUCCUCAAGAGAUGUUCACAUGCAUCUGCUUCGGCACGGUUUCAUGCCAAGCUGUAAUUGUUGGACCAAGCAUGGAGAAAGAGGGGUUAUAAAGGAAGAAGAUGAAGAAGGGGAUGAUUUCAUCGAUGAAAGCUAUCUUGCUCAUUUCGGUGAUACUUUCAUGGAGGAUGCUGAAGGUGAAGGGGAAGGUGAAGAAGAGGCACGUGAUGAUCCCGUUGAUGAUCUUGGUCGGACCAUUGCUGAUGCACGGAGACGCUGCGAAACUGAAAAGGAGAGGGAGAAUUUGGAUCGCAUGUUAGAGGAUCACAGAAAGGCGCUGUACCCCGGAUGCGAUGAUGGUCUGAAAAAGCUGGGCUGCACACUGGAUUUGCUGAAAUGGAAGGCAGAGGCAGGUGUAGCUGACUCGGCAUUUGAAAACUUGCUGAAAAUGUUGAAGAAUAUGUUUCCAAAGGAUAACGAGUUGCCCGCCAGUACGUACGAAGCAAAGAAGGUUGUCUGCCCUCUAGGUUUAGAGGUUCUGAAGAUACAUGCAUGCAUCAACGACUGCAUCCUCUACCGCGGUGAAUACGAGAAUUUGAAUGAAUGCCCAGUAUGCACUGCAUUGCGUUAUAAGAUCAGAGGCGAUGACCCUGGUGACGAUGUUGAGGGCCAGAAAUCCAGGAAGAGGGUUCCCGCCAAGGUGAUGUGGUAUGCUCCUAUAAUACCACGGUUGAAACGUCUGUUCAGGAACAAAGAGCAUGCCAAGUUGUUGCGAUGGCACAAAGAGGACCGUAAGUCGGACGGGGAGUUGAGACACACCGCAGAUGGAACGCAAUGGAGAAAGAUCGACAGAUGGUUCAAAGAUUUUGCAGCUGAUGCAAGGAACAUAAGAUUUGCUCUAAGUACGGAUGGCAUGAAUCCUUUUGGCGAGCAGAGCUCCAGCCAUAGCACCUGGCCCGUGACUCUAUGCAUCUACAACCUUCCUCCUUGGUUGUGCAUGAAGCGGAAGUUCAUUAUGAUGCCAGUGCUCAUCCAAGGUCCGAAGCAACCCGGCAACGACAUCGAUCAAAGAUCAAGUUCAACAGAGAGAACGACGCGCUGACAAAAGCCCUCGGGAAUCCUGAACACGGAGGACGUGUACGAGGCAUGGGGCACAUUCCGUGGAAAAUAGGGUUCCCCCAGAACGAUGACCCGUACGGUUACAGAAGCCGUAAGAGAAAGAUGGAUCGGGAAGCAGAUGUUGUGGCGCGGUUGGCAUCGGAAAUGGAUGUGAUGAAGAAAACCAUGAGUGUACUAGUAGCCGAAAGAGAUGCAGCUCGGGUGCAGCAUGAAGAUCAUCCAGCGGAUCUCGGAAGCCAGCAGCGGAGAAGCAGCGUGGCUUCCACGGAGGCCCCACCGGCUGGUGCAGAUGCACCGACGAUCGAAAUUACUGCACCGGAGCCUCUGGUGGUCGAAAUUACUGCACCGGAGCCUCUGGUGGUCGAAAUUACUGCACCGGAGCCUCCUCGCUACCCCGUGGACGAUAUAAAGGAGAUGAAAGAAUGUCCUCUGUAUUAUCCUAUCGGGAACAUGUCCAUGAAGGUAGCCAUCGGCAGUGCUUUACCAUGUUUACCUGGAGCACUCCACCACAACAACCCCAUUCAAGAUGGCUAUGCUCGUGUCACGGUGGAGGACAUAGUCCAAGGGUUUGAGGACCUGGAGAUUGACAUUGCUACACCUGAAGGGGAGAAAAGACUUGGAGAUGUCAAGCGCCAUUUCAUUCUAUGGCAAAAGAAGUUUAUCAAGUUUCCAGGCGAGGCGCCAAGGACAACAAGUCCACCCCCCUACGGUGGUGGUGGUGGCGGUGGCGGUGGUGGUGGUGGUGGUGGUGGUGGCGGUUCACCUACACCUCCGUCACGUCAGCCGACGCCGCCCCCCAGUCCACAACGUCCAGCGGGUGAUCAGCCGCCGCCCCCCAGUCCUCGUCCGGCGGGUGAUCAGACGCCGCCCCCCAAUCCACCUCCGGCAAAGAAGCAGAAGCAGUCCUGGAUUAUUAACCCGGACCCUUAUGUACCUAAGACCACAAAGGUACCGGAGCCAUCACCGAAGCCUCUCCCCACAAGGCCUUGGGAACGUAGUGCCGAGGAAGUCGACGCGGCCGCGGCUGCUGAUUUGGAGAAAUGGAAGGCGGACUGCAAGAAGAAAAGAGAGCCCGAGCCCAAGCCAGUAUUUUCUGAUGAGCAAAAGAAGUGGGCUAAGUCAUUUUUGAGCACACCGUCCCAAGCCGCGAAGAAUCUGCCUAACGACUAUGCACGUGAACUUCGCAGGCAGGCACUCAUGUUCAAGGAGAACAAAGAGCGGGAGAAGGCCGAAAGUAAAAAAAGCGGGAAACAAGUUGCCCAGCUCGGGGAACAAAGUAAACAAUCGAUUGCCCCGCUUAUAGUGGAAGCCUUCUGUCCGGAUGCCCCCGAGAUCAUACAAGCUGCGGCAGCACAGGGAUUGACUGUAACGAGUGCCAGAGAACAAGCGGCCAACUUAGGUAUUACUCUUCGUGAACUGUUAGGCCUUGAUGAGGCGCCAGUGAAGGAGGUAGUAAUUACAUAUGUCAAGAAUGGGCCUCUCGUCGAGCCUGCGCAGGAAAAGGAUCUACCUCCACAAAUGAAAGGUCUGCUGAAAUGGUACAAGGGUUACAUAAAAAAUAAAAACGCCAAAGAAUAUAUUUAUGCGGAAGUUAUACAUGAGCAUCACUUCAAACAUUACUAUGUACAAAUUGAACUGAGUGAAUUGUUCCAGCUUUUCAAUCUGCGCGAGCUCGAUAAAUCUAUCAUCAGUUGCUACGUUCUGUAAGUGAUUUAUUAAUUUCUACCCCAUCUCGUUCAUAUUGCCUGCACUAUAUAUAUGUCCUAACUAUAUUGUUGUGUCCGCUAUUAUACAUGCAGAAUGAAGAUUAAGGAAUGCAGAGUAAGGAACAUCCAUGAUGUUGGGUUCAUUGACCCACACAUCGUUAAUGGACAUGUGUUGGAGCGUUACCCCGCCGACGUGGAGGCAGACCUGUGGCAGUUUCUUACAAAGCAGGAACUCAAAAGUGAUAUUCUAUUUCCUUACCAUUUUGAGUGAGUGUUUCUGUCUUGAGCACAUUCUCUUUUGUUUACUCCAUGCAUGGUAUGUGGCCGGCUAAUCGAUGAGUUAUGCAUGACGUACUGUGCAUGUAUCGUGUCCGCAGGUUCCACUGGAUUCUGCUAGUAAUUGAAGUUAACACCUCAGAAUGUCUCGUCCACGACUCUGUGAAUAUGGAUCCAAAGCUUUGGGGCGGCAUGAGAAGAAUGCUGCAGAAGUAAUUAUUUUCAUUCAUUUGCGCUCUAUAUCGAUCGGCCUAUUUCGUUCAUUUCCUAAUAUCAAGUAACUAAUUAAUAACUCUCUUGUUCAUUUAAUUUUCUUUGCCUCGUAGGGUUUGGAGACGGUUCGUAGAUACAAAGGUCGGUGAAUUCAAAAAAGAGCUAGAAUUCAAAAUGUUAAAGGCUAAGAAUGCUGGGGAUAUUCAGCCACCGGAGACCAAUCUAUGUGGAUACUAUGUCUGUGAGAUGAUCCGGAGAUACACCUCUGAGCGGGUUCCGAGUGAUACCAAUGCUAAGAGGAAUAACCUCCGGUGGAUGCUUAGUCCAGAAGCUCGCUUCCAACCACUUCAAGAGGAACUAGCUGGAUGGUUCAGCAGGGAAGUCCUCCAUCCUAAAGGAGAACACUAUUACGAGGACGUAGAACUUUAUAUGCAUUAAAUCAUGUAUGGAAACUUGUUCAAAAUUGUAUAUGGUCAUCCGAUGAUAUUGAAUAUAUAUUGUAUAUUCCUCUUGAAUUCUUUUUGGUUCUAAUUUCAAAUUUAUUUGAAAUUGUACAUUCAUAUGCAUGUAUGUAGUACCGUAGAAUAUAUGAAACUCCUUCAAAAUUAAAAUAAAGCACAAAAGAAAUAAAACAAUACAAAUUAAACAGAAAACAGGUUUAAGGGGGGAGGUUUAGGGGGGGNNNNNNNNNNNNNNNNNNNNNNNNNNNNNNNNNNNNNNNNNNNNNNNNNNNNNNNNNNNNNNNNNNNNNNNNNNNNNNNNNNNNNNNNNNNNNNNNNNNNNNNNNNNNNNNNNNNNNNNNNNNNNNNNNNNNNNNNNNNNNNNNNNNNNNNNNNNNNNNNNNNNNNNNNNNNNNNNNNNNNNNNNNNNNNNNNNNNNNNNNNNNNNNNNNNNNNNNNNNNNNNNNNNNNNNNNNNNNNNNNNNNNNNNNNNNNNNNNNNNNNNNNNNNNNNNNNNNNNNNNNNNNNNNNNNNNNNNNNNNNNNNNNNNNNNNNNNNNNNNNNNNNNNNNNNNNNNNNNNNNNNNNNNNNNNNNNNNNNNNNNNNNNNNNNNNNNNNNNNNNNNNNNNNNNNNNNNNNNNNNNNNNNNNNNNNNNNNNNNNNNNNNNNNNNNNNNNNNNNNNNNNNNNNNNNNNNNNNNNNNNNNNNNNNNNNNNNNNNNNNNNNNNNNNNNNNNNNNNNNNNNNNNNNNNNNNNNNNNNNNNNNNNNNNNNNNNNNNNNNNNNNNNNNNNNNNNNNNNNNNNNNNNNNNNNNNNNNNNNNNNNNNNNNNNNNNNNNNNNNNNNNNNNNNCGACGGCCACCUGGCGCCCACGUGGACGGGCCUUUAGUCGCGGUUCUUAAGCAACCGCGACUAAAGGGGGGGGCCUUUAGUCGCGCCCGGUCGGUCGCGGUUGCGCAACCGCGACUAAUGGCAGUUGCGAACCGCGACCAAAGGCCUUUUUUCCACCAGUGUAUGGGUGGAUAGGUUCUCUCAUUGGCGUGCCAAUUUUUUUUGGACCCUAAUAUCUGGUGUCCGUCAGCAGGGGAGGGACUCCAGCAAGCUAUUUCGUUCACUCGGGAGAUAAUUUUUUUUUUUUUUGAGACAAACGGGAGAUCAGCUCCCAGCGAACGAUUGAGCCAUCCUUGAAUUUUUUUUUUGAGAAAUUCUUGACACCUUUAUUGAGUAAUGUUUUAGGGUACAAGAAUUUGGUCAUUAAGCCAUCCUUGAUUGAUCGCCAGUACUGGCUAACAGCGCAACCCUUGGCGAUCCUUGAUUGAUCACCAGUACAAGAAUUUGCGCUGUUAGCCAGUACGCUGGCUCUAGUGUUUUGCAAUAUAGUUUGCUAGUGUUUUUCUUACAGCGAACUGGUUAGGGGAUCCGACGUGGCUAGAAACCCGCGUCAGGAUUGAUGCAAGCGAAUGCGACCAGAGAUAGAGUGGUAGCUGCGAAAUCUCUCCUCGUUGCGUUCUGCGGUCACCAGUUAAAGUUUCCAUUUUUUUUAAUGUGAUACACAUUGUAUCUGUCUAAUGAAUGAGAGUUAUAUGACCACCUUUAACAUGUAACUCAUGUGAUCCAGUUGUACGUUUACACUCGAUAUGCAAUUUGUCUUGUUUUAACCUAGUUGGCAACCUACCUCACAAUCGAUUCAAACGUAUAUCCACCCUAGACACACAACCUGUUCAACCCUCACCCAGUUGCAUGUCCACGCUAGACAUGCAACUUGUCCGACCUGAACCAAUUACAUGUCCAGACUAGAUACACAACUUUCCUAACACCGACCUACUUGUAUGUCUAUCCUCGACAUGCAACUUGUCCGACCCAGUUACAUGUCCACCCUCAGCACACAACUUGUCCAAACGACAUAGAUCACCAAAUGCAUGUUCAUUCUCGAUACACAACUUAGCUCACCACACACUUGUAUGUCCAUGUUUUGACACAAAACUCGUCCGACCUAGUUGCAUGUCCACCUCGAGAUGCAACUUGCCAAAUCUCGGUCCAGUUGCAUGUUCACUCUCGAUACACAACUUGCUCGACCCAGUUGCAUGUCCACCGUCGACACACAACCACGGCUAGUCCUAAGGGGGGAGGCGGGCGGCCUCCCUGGGCUCCCAAAGUGGAGGGAGCUCCAUAUGUGUAUAUCUAUUCAUAAGGCCUCUGUUGUAUAACAUAGUAACAAAAGUUUAUGGGAUGGCCCACCUAGUAGCCACUACCUAUACCUGGAGCAAUACAUCCCAUAACACAUGCAUCGUAAGAAAGGGAGGAACUUGAGCAGGGCAUCAUGCACGCAUCACGCCGCCUUUUGAUCUUGUGAUCAAACCACGACAGAUGAAUCAGGAAGCCCGGAUCGCAAGGGAUGUGGUUGCGCUGUGGAGCUCGGCGGCGAACCGGUGUUGUGUUUGUCUGUGGAGGCAUGAGUGUUUCAGGUAGGUCAACACCUUCCAUUGUUGGUAUUAGUAUUAGCCUUCAAUUUCUGCGGUUUAGUAGUGAUGUAGUUGUGGUGUAGAUGUCAAACAUAUCAAGACGAAGGGAAAGGCUCUGGAUGAUGAUCAUGGCAUCUAGUUUUGAGAUAAACUGAGACCACAAAUGAGGUAUAACUCUUGAUUUAUUCAAUUGAACAACUAGGCUAGUGUAAAUUUGCAGUAUCAUGGUACUGUUGAUUUAAUUUUGGUAGACGUGAUGGAAAUAUUUUUGUCGUCACUCAUAUGGAUUUGCUCAUCUAUCCUAAUUUCUAUUCGGUGUAACACAUUCCAAGAAUAGAAAAAUGAGCAUUCCAACUCUUCAUUGGGAUGCAAAAAAAUUUAGGACUAUUCAUGAACUCACAUGUCUCUCUGAACUUUUUGAUACAUCAGACAUAUAAUGUAAUCCUAUAGUUGCAGUACAAGCCUCACAUUUAACAUGGAUUCGCAUUUCCAAGAAUAACUUGUGAUAGGCAACAGACCUUUGUUUACUUCCUCCGUAGGCCAUUAUUUCGUUCUUUAUAUUAAGGGCCCCGGAUUAUAGUUCCGCCCCGGGCCCCCAAAUUCUCAGGACCGUCCGUCUACGCAACUCGUACCAACCUUACCCUGUUGCAUGUCCACCAUGACACACAACUUGCCCUAACCUCAGACCUGGUUGCAUGUCGACCACUAGACUCACAGCUGCAAGUAUUACCCCAGGCUACAAUUGCAUGCCCCCAACAGGAUUGCAAUGGGGGUUGUUUGACUGCAGGGAUUGCGGAAGUUGCAUUUUUUUCACUCAAACCCUGCCUAUUCGCCUUCAUUUUUCACCGAUCCUCACUUUCGUCUAUACCCAUUAGCCACAGUGCAAAUCACACUAAUCAACGGAUAAAGUCUGUCGAGACACACCGAUGGAUGUAUGUUUCUCUGUUUUCUUUGGCAAUCUAUAUACAAAAUAGAUGCCUCUCUGGGACUAAGCCAAAAGUGGGGUUUCUCAUGUUUGGUCUAGCUUGAUGAAAAAAAAUUAUUUUUUACAAACACUGUAAAAAGUAAGUGGGAAAUGGUGAGAAUUCUAGAUUUUGGGAAGAUUGGUGGGUGGGUGACAAGCCUUUACAUGAUGCUUAUGUGAGACUUUAUAACUUGAGCUUUGACCAUGAGAUAACGACAAUUGAAGCUACUAGUAAAGUUUGGUGGGUUUCAUGUUUAGAAAAACUUUGUGGGGGAGUCUCUUGAGUAAUUUGAAAUUAAAUUAUGAAAAGGUUGACAUGUCAAGCAUGGAAGAUACCAUCAAGUGGAUGUUGACUUCUUAUGGUGUUUCCAUUGUCAAACCUCUUCAUAGACAACUAAUUGUAGAUAGUUGUUUCCCACAUAAUUUCUGUGGAAAAUUAGGUUUCCUCCAAUUAUCAAAGUGUUUUUAUGGUUCGUGGUUAGGAAAAGCAUCUUAACCAAAGGAAAAUUUCUGGGAAGAGGCUGGAUAGGUAAAAAAUGUUGUGUUUUUUGUGCUCAGAUGAGGGCACUCAUGAUCUUUUUCUCCAAUGCUCAAGUGCUAAAACGGUUUGGAGUUUGUUCCAAUGCGCUUCUAAUUUGCGAAAUGUCCGUGAGAGCUUAAGCAUAUCCAAUGUCAAAUUUGUAUUAUGGCGUUAUUAUAUUAAAUAAUUGUUGCAUGUUUCCAUAUUACAACACAUAGGCAUAUUUGGAUAAGAUGCCCGCGCACUUGCAUGGGCCACCUUAGUAGUUAAGUAAGAAACACAUACUUUUGGGAUGAACUUCUAAUACACUCACACCUUCUACCAAGAAAAAUGUUUAGCAGAGAUGCUUAGAGAAAUAAACCAGUUUUUCUUCAAGUACCGGUGCUUCAUUGUAGAGGGCAGACACUUAGUUAGGCACCUCUCCUUUGGAGAUGAGCACUGGUACUUACCAAAAGUUGAUUUAUCUUACAAAGCACCUCUCUAAACACAUUGCACUGUAUAAGGCCACAGGCACAUAGUCUUUAUUGAGAAAUAUCAAUAACACGUCGCUUGGCUUGCUUGCAGCGGCUGGUAGCGUUGUGUUUUAGCUGCGCUUUGCUGUGAUGGCCGUGGCAGCAUGUUCUCCUCAUCCACCCACAGAAACUAAUCUAUGGUCUCCGAUCUAGAAAUAACAUUUUAUCGACAGACAAAUAGGCACUAUCCCUUAAAGCAAGCCACCAUAUGCCCAGUCUACUGUCGGUGCCAUCGAGUUCCUGCGUCGUUUUGACCGUGUAGGACCGGGAACGAAGCUCGGAUGCAAACCCCAGUCAACUUUUCAUGUUUUUCCCGUCGUCGAAGCCAAACUUUGGAUACUGGGUGCAUGUGCUCUAAUAUAUAUUUUCGUAUAUGGACGUGGAUUUUUAGAGCACUUGCACCCAGGCCCUGCUAUCCUACCUCUUCAAUAUCGCUUUAAGAUCCGUGCAACACAACUAUGUUUCUAUAUAAAAUUUUCUCUUUUUUGCUUCUCCCAUAUAGAACAUAUCUUGAAGUUCAAACCUAUGCAGGAUGGCAAAGCUUUCUAACUAGAAUCUAGGAUAAAUCUUUCAGAAUUUUUUGUUCGACAUAAAUACUAAAAAUAUGAUUUUUUUUUAUCAAACAAAACGUAUUUUGUAUAUUUAUGUUUGACAAAAAAAUCUGUACGAUUUAUCCUAGAUUCUACUCAGAAAGCUUUGUCACACUGCAUAGGUUUGAACUUCAAGAUAUAUUCCAUGUGGGAGAAACAAAAAAGAGAAAUGUAUUUACACGAAUCUUAAAGCAGAAAAUGGAUGGCUAGAUAGAGAGGGCCUGGGUGCAUGUGCUCUAAUAUAUAUUUUCGUAUAUCUGAACAGGAGCCCCUUAAUCUAGAACAAUUUAAGAGACGAGCGUACGCCUAAGUUAGGGCGGGUCUUCUGGAAUUUGUCUGUACUAAACUGUCCUUAAUAACCUUUACGUGUUUUGACCUAAUUGACUAUAGAGUGGCGUACGGUUAAGGAUAGGUAAAAGUAAAGACUGAAGUUCAUGAAGCAUCUUCAAAUGAACCGAAGCUCCGAAUCUUGCCAGCCUGAUCCAUAGGGGCUUUCGGCUGGUUCCAUUAUUCAUUUCAUUUUCAGCAUCCCGACAGAAAUACUAGCUAGUAUAGUACCCACUACUACCCCAUUCCUGCUGACUGCUAUUCUUUUUCACUGUCCAGUACGUACGCCCAGAUUCGGAUGCUCGGAGGAUCCCUGAAUUCCUUCGUCUCCGUAUCAGUUCCCCUGUCUCCGUGCUCCCGUCCUACGGGACCGGCCAUGUUCGACGAGAUUUAUGCUAUUCUCCUCCGUGGAAAAUUUGCUGGACACAUGCGAGCACAAAAGGUCCGUCCAUGGAGUUGGAGCUAGCUGUUUCGUUUCAGUAUCUUUCUUGUCGCUUCCCGCAAUAGCUUAGCUCAGGCACGUUGCUAGCGACAUAGUGCUAGCUGGUAGGCACAGUAUGUCCUAAUCAGAAUCCGCACAGCCCGUUCUUUGCGCUCAAUUUGGCAGCACUAGUAUAUCUAUAGAGUAGGGAUGUCAUGCAAUCCUCCCUCUCCAGCUUGCUCACUUUCUGGGCCUCGGUGGCUUUCCGUCUUCUUGGUGAGGUGCUGGACAGUUUUUAUUUUUGUUUCUUGGAUACUCAAAAACAUAGAAAUAUGAUUGACAGAGUGUAAGAUUUUUCACUUGAAAAGCAAUGACAAGCACGGUGGUGCAUAAGUCAGACGGUAGUAUUAGGGCGCAUGCACCCCAUCUUCUUUUCGUCAGUUUUCACCUCUUCACAACAUGGUCGUUCUACCAUUUCCCGGUUCUAAUCUCUCCCUCGGAAACUCCUCGCCGAUCUCUCGCAUCCCUAUCGCUACCUCCUUUUCAUUGUAGAGUGGAUUUUCCACUCUCGGGUGUACUACAGCCGAGUUGUCCAAAAACUGAUAAAAAUGUUAUGAAGCAAAAUCUAAAAAAUCAGAAAUUUUGCGAUAUCAAAAUCGAUCAAACUUUUGAGGUUGCUGCAAAAUUUCAUCCAAAAAUAACAUCCGAGGAGCUCCCACAAAAAACAAUCUGCUGCUCAAAAAGUGCAUACAACUUUGAGCAGCAUUUUUGUUUUUUUGUGAGAGCACCUAGGAUGUUAUUUUUGGAAGACAUUUUUGCAACAACCUCAAAAAUUGAUAGAGUUUGAUGUCGCAAAAUUUCAGAGUUCUUCGAUUUUGUUUGAUAAUGUUUUAUCAUAUUUUUGACAAACUUGGGUGUAGUACACCCAAGAGUAGCCACUACUUUCCGCUUCCAUGAUCUAAUGACUUGUGAGGUCCAAUACAGCCACCACCGUUGGUGAUGUGAAGUCUUCGCCUAAGAUUGCAGGAAGCUCAUUACCUGUUGGGCACCUUGUCGACCUCACCAUUGUUGGGCAGCCUUCCCUCAGAGUUGUCAAGUUCAUCCAUCGAUGGCACAGAGAUCAGUCACGCCUUGCUCGCCAUAUCACAUUCUCAUCCCCAUCAUUACUCCUCUUCCGCCGCUCCUCCAACUUUGUGUUCAACUAUGAAUCAAGCAUCUGGACAAUACUUCAAAUCAUAGAGCCUAUUUGAAAACCUCUCACUUGGAUAGUUAUUUUGCACCAAAAACACUUAAUAUAUUUGUACAUAUUGUAGUUUUAAUGUGUUACUGAUCUGAUCUUUUGAAGUUUAUAUGUUGUGUUGUUUGGGAGAAAUACAAAAGAUAAAUGUCUAUGCAUGGAGUGUGCCUACACUGGGGUUUUUAAGAUGGCCCACUUCAUGCUUGAGCUAUUAGUUUUGUUUUGCCGGAUGGCUAUUAUUCCACUUACCUUGUACGACAGUACGAUCUAGGUGGUACUAUAUAAAGGGUACAAGUGUCUUUGCAUAUCAUGUGUAAUUAAUGUCAAAUGCAAAAAAAUGGAAAAUAUUCAAUGUUUGAAGGAAGGAAACGUAUUAAAGUUUAUACCGCCAUUAAAUCCCUCAUUUUCCCACAUUUUCGGUAGCAUAAAAAAGUCGUAAGAUGGGCAUGGAAUAUUGUUUUUGUUAUUUGAGCAAAUUCGCAAAUUAAAAUUUAACAUAGUUAUAAAAUAUAGGCAUUGUGAAGUUCCGAACUUGCUUUUGGAUUAAAUAGAUGACUACGUACUCUUACUAAUGCUUAGUUCCAGACAUUGUGCUUUCUUUUCCUGAGUAUAAACAUUUGAAUCACAAAAACUAUAAUAUAUUUUGUUUCAUUUCUUUUAAUAAUGAUGAUUAUUUUAAGCAAGUAACAUACUCCCUCCGUUCCUAAAUAUAAGGUGUAUUAGUUUUUCAAAAAGUCAAUUGUUGUCUAUGUUUGACCAACUUUACAGCAAAAUAUAUAAAGAUUUAUAAUACUAAAUAUAUAAAAUGUAAAAAUAUAGUCCAUGAUGAAUCUAGUGAUAAUGAUUUGGUAUUCUAGAUAUUGAUAUUUUUGUCUAUAAACUUGGUCAAACUUAAAGAAGUUUGACUUUUUGAAAAAAUAAUACACCUUAUAUUGAGGAACGGAGGGAGUAGUAUGUAAUUUGAUCAUCAUACGUGUAGAAAUCAUUUUGUAUAAGGCAGCAGUCACGUAAAUGAACUAAUGAAAUAUCUUGGUUUGGAUUUUUGGAAGGAUUGGACGGGUUGCUACUUACUAUUUCAUGUGCAGCUUAAUCAAAGGGUGGGUAAUUUCCUUUAACAAAUUUAUUUAGUUUGCCCAAAAGUAAACUUUACCAAUGGGUGGCUAAGAUUUAAGGUUUCUCUUACCUCUAUGAGGGACCAUCUUAAAAGUGCUUGUUUUUUUUACAUCAUGACAUGCUUAUUUUCGUGGAGAUUUAGGGACAAUCUGCCAAUAAGAUGUUGCUUAUGAGCGGCGAAAGCAGAAUGAUAUAUUGCUAUUGAAGAUACCUUAUCCAUGAAAUAAUGAUGAAGAGCUGGAAGAAGGAGGGAUAGAGCACCAAGAGGUGCCCAGACAUGAUGUAGAUGUUGGACAUGAUGAAUAGGCCAUACAUGUUGGCGGCAAUGGUGCAGAACCCUAAUGUUUAGUGUUGAUUUUGAAAUAGACAACUAACUAAAGGGUUGUUCAUAGAGGUCGCUAAGUUGGCGAAACUGGAGGAAGACUCAAAAACUCCAUCGUAUGAUGGUUUCGAUCCCUAGCAUACCCGCCUCACAUCACCCUUAAAAUUUUAUACAUCAAGGCAAAAUACAAGAACACGGACACAAGCCUUGAUGCGACAUUGAGGUUUCUACACAAAGUGUUUUCCGAGGCGGACGUGUUGCCUAGUAGUAUCGAUGAAGCAAACAAAUUUGUGUGACUCUUGAUUUUUCGCAUAGAAGAUAUCACUAAUAACGUUAACCAGUGGCAUGCCACCCACACGCCACUAAUGGGGGUUCCACACUAGGACAUAUUGAUGUUUCUCCAUGUAUUGUUGUCGGCAACAAGAUAAUACCAAGCAUGCAUAGACUAAAGUAAUUACCCCAUAGGUUUUGAAGAGACACAUGAGUUAUGACAACUCAAUAAGUGGGAACCUAAUGUCACUAAAUACAUGGUAGUCCAGGGCAAUACCAUUUGCAAUGCAAUGUAUGAAACCACGAGUCCACCACUUAAUUAAUGAGGAAGAAGAGCAAUAGCAUAAAUAGAUGAGUCGUAAGAACCACGGGCACCAUGGAGUAGGCCAUGAUAGCAACAAUGGGACGAGGAUGAAGCAAUAAGAACUUUAUUCUGCAUGACGUUGCCUCAACUACCAAGGACCCACAAACUUAACUAAAAAGGUACCAAAUCAUCUCGCUAGACGUGAUCCAUGUAUUUCCCCACAUCCUGAUGCUAGAGUGCUAUUAUCGAGUAGAACCAGCGGAGAUUGAAAAUGUGGGUGGCCCUCCUAUUGAUGUCUAGGGUAUUUAUUGCCUUCUUUAUCUCAUUGUGGUAGACAACUAACAUCUACUCAAUUCACAUGGACAAAAUACCCGAUCUUACUCAUAUUGAACUAUUUAUAAGAUCUCCCUUGACAAAUUGUUCAUAUUGUCGUCAAUUGUAUUGAUGCUUCUACUAACUAGGUUGUGUGGAGGAGAGGCAGACAUUCCAUAGGCGAUCUUCGAACUAGCUGAUGUAUAUACGUUCAAACCCCCUCUUGGGUAACUGCACUAGGCAUGCAUUUCACUUCAUCUUUAGGAGGAAAAUAAUGGAGUGGGUAGCUACACUAAGUGGGAUAUAUGACUAGCCAGAGGAUGUGGAGAAUCUCCUCAACAUGGCUCCUCAGAAGAUCUAUAGUUUGUGUGUCUUGUGGAUUCUUUCAAGCUGUGAGAAUUAAGUCACUUCUCUCUCUACAGAGGCCUCUAGGCCUUCUAUGUAGUCACAAAUUCUUGACAAGCAAGGUUAGAAGUCAUCUUUGUGUAGGGCUUGUAGAUGGCAGUCACCUAAGGGCAAAUAAGCUUGGUUGGCAUGUACUCCGUGUAGACUUGGGCAUACUCCGGGCCGGGCUUGCAAGAGCCCUAUCUACAAAUGUGAAGCCUGCAUCGGCCGACCUGAUAGCACAGAAAAUAGUUGUUUUGUAUUUAACAACAAUAAAUUAUCAUUUUCAAGAUUAAAAACGAAUUAUUAUAUCUAUUUUGUGGGCAAACCAUCGAAAACAAUUCCUCCUUUGCCUUUUGGGCUUAUGAGAUGGGCCAUGUGCUGAAAACUAAGGCCCACACCAGUUUGGACCCCGGCUUUCGGGUCGGGCUGCCAGUGCUAAGGUUUAACUCCAGGUACCUUCAGGGGAACUACUAUCCCAAGGGCUCACUAAGGGCAUCUACAACGCAGACCCGCAAAUAGCUCCGGUAAAUGUCCCUUUUUAUGUCUGAAUGUGGUCCGUGAACAUGAUGCGGGAGAGAGCCAUCCAAUGCCAUUCACAAAGUAUCUACUCCCUUCGUAAACUAAUAUAUGAGCGUUUAGAUCACUAAAAUAAUGAUAUAAACGCUCUUAUAUUAGUUUACAGAGGGAGUAGUUGGGAGGAGAGAAAGUUGGUAGUGACCAUGUAUGUGGUGGGAUAUUGUGGUGUGGUGUCCGGUCGGGAGAAGAGAGAGGAGAGGAGGAUCACGAACGACUGUUCAUAGGUCCACCAAAGUUCACAUAAACGACGGACAACUUAUACUACAUCUAAAACUUGAAAUGAAAUUGAACUUCACCACUUCCGGACCGGCCCUUUCCCCUUCUGGUCGUCGGCGUAGCCGUGGCCGUCAGCGGCUGGUGGAGGAUCAUCUGAUUCGUCAGACGAGGAGCCGUCGUUGUUGGAUGAGGAGGAGGAGACGAUGACGAGGCCAUUGAGGCGCUGGACGGCCCGGUCCCGUUGGCGCCUGAGCACGCCUCCGUCGCCUUCUCCUUCGCCUCCCACUCGGACUGCUCGAUGGCAACCGGAGAGCCUUCGCGUUCUUUCGGCAGAGCCGCCGACCGUCUGUCUCCGCCGUCGUAAGCUACCAGCGGUAUACCCACGCGACGAGCUGCGCGUUCUCAUCGGGCUCCGCCGGUAGAUCUCAGCGGCGGCGGACAGAGCUCUCCGCAGCGUCCCUCUCCCUUGCCCGCUACCUCUCGCGGCGGGCAGAGCAUGUCUUCGACUCCAGCGUGCGCGUCCAGGCCGACAGGAAGGGCACAAGCACCCACCUAUGCCCAUGAGAGGGAGCAGCAGCCGGUGUGGCCAGGGGACGACGUAGGGGAGGCGCGGAUUGCGCAGGCUGCCUGUCGGAGCUGCCCCCGGACAGGGAGGGGCUAGCGCCGGCGUCCGAGCUGCCCGGCGGGGAAGCUGCGGCUACGGCGAGGCUGCAGAUCCGGAGCUGCCCCCGAUCUCCACCUUGGGCCGCUCCAAGGCGAUGCAGAGGGCAAGCUCAUACUCCGGAUCCAGCUCGUCGUCGGAGCGGCUGACGGAGCUCGACAUUGCACUAGAUUCGAUCGGAAUCGGUGCUGGGACAGGAGAGGACGGAGCGAGAGAGGAGAGUGAGUGAGUUAGGGUUUCAGAGCGAUGAGCCCGAUGAUUUUUUUUGUGGGACAUCCGUGGGGUCAGUGGUGGACUGGGCUUGUCAGGCGGAUGCACCCGGGCCACCUCAUAUCCGCCCUACAUUUGGGACGGAUAUGAGGGGUGCCGGUCAGCCCAGGCAUUUGAGGCCCGUUUGAGAACUCCGGUUGUGUCGGUAUUUUGUGACCGAUCAGUGACCGGACGGCCUGCCCGAGCGUAUGAGACACAUAUAGGGCACCCGGCUGUAGAUGCUCUCAGGUCGACUUUGGAGAAAGGGCCGGGCCACAGAGUUCAUAGUUCAUACUGCCCAGGCCCACUUACUCGCCUUCAUUUCUAUCGAAAGAAAUUUGAUCUCGGGCUCGGUAACAUUGUGAAUCUUUUUCUGAAAAGCCUCUACAACAUUGUGUUGUUCAUAUCCAUUUUAAUUAAUAAGUACUAAAUAUUCAAGCAAAGCUAAAACAACAAUCAAUGAUUAAAACCACACCCAAUCGGUAAGAAGAUUACAUGGUAUCGAGAACAGAGUGCAUAUAAGGUCCAAUUAAGCAUGCCACAACGAUUUUCCCUAAAAUANNNNNNNNNNNNNNNNNNNNNNNNNNNNNNNNNNNNNNNNNNNNNNNNNNNNNNNNNNNNNNNNNNNNNNNNNNNNNNNNNNNNNNNNNNNNNNNNNNNNNNNNNNNNNNNNNNNNNNNNNNNNNNNNNNNNNNNNNNNNNNNNNNNNNNNNNNNNNNNNNNNNNNNNNNNNNNNNNNNNNNNNNNNNNNNNNNNNNNNNNNNNNNNNNNNNNNNNNNNNNNNNNNNNNNNNNNNNNNNNNNNNNNNNNNNNNNNNNUGUGAGACAGAGAGAGAGAGCUAUGUGGUGGUCACAUCCGGGUUUUAUUAUGAUGGACCAAAAGUUUGAGGUAUUGGUAGUUAUGGAAGAGGUUACAUAAAAAGGCGAGUAACUGAAAAUUAAACAACUGAAUAAGUUGUGAGACGAAAUGUGCACUCACCUCACUUAAGUUACACAAACCCUUUUAACAUAAGUUCUAUGAAAUGCUAUAUUAUCGUUGUUCGGUGUUGCUAUUGAAAAGUAAUUUGACAUAUGUACUAAGCAAGUACUGAAAGCAUAAUUUUCUUGGAACAUCUUAUUCUUCCUACUGGGCGUUGAAGAAUACAAAACCAAAAUAAACUAUAAACAUAACAUAAGGAUAUUCCAAAUAGUUCCUACCCAACCUAUGGUGAGAAUAUAUGUUUUUUGAAGGUGUACGUGAGGAGGCAAAAUCCCAUCUUAACAACUUUUCAUUAUGCUGAAAGGCAGCCCAAUAGUAACUAGUUGUAAGGGGAAGGCGUUGUGGCUACAAACCGUUGAUGAUGCACGCAGACAUGCAUAAAAACCUACUGCAUGGUAACAGCAAUGGGGAGGACCAACACGGAUCCCAGCAAUGGGGAGGACCAACACGGAGGCAUGGGCGUGGCGAGGGAAGUGGAGGUGGGCGGCCGAGCGUGCAUGCAGCAGGUGCGUGCUUGGUGUUUUUACGUGGGUGCUAAGUUUCUUUCCCUUUUUUCCGAACAUGGGCGAUUUGCUUUCUUUUUGACGUGACUAAUUUCUUUCUUUCUUUUUUGACAUGAUUGAUUUGUUUCCUGAUUUAAGACAUUCUUUUAAUUCAUAAUUCUGUUAUAAGAUGUUCUUUUUUCUUAAUUAAGAUGAUUUGAUUUGGUACAUUAUUUGGAAGAUCUCGUGUGUUGCUGUUUGGAUAUGUGCGGUCAAGAUUGAGUGGAUUCACACAACUCGCUCUUGCGAUCAAGAUUCUAUCCGGAUUAUUUUCCUUGGGAGAGUUUGGUGCAUUUGAGUGGAUGAGGAUCGAGAGUAUGGAGCCGAAGAGAAACCGGAUCGAAGAAGAAAAAAUGAAUGUGGAAGGUGAAGGAAAAAAACCAGCAUGAGAUGGGACAUGGGAGGAAAGGAAACCAGUGUGGUGAGAGGUGAGGCGAAACUAAACCGCUGAGGCAAAAAUAAACCAUAGAUACCGGCCUACCAACUCCAAUUUUAGAAGUAGAGAUCAAACAGAAAAAAACGAAACAUAGAAAAAAAUAAUAAAAAUGCGCGCACACGUCAAAUGGUCCGGCCAACCUUGAUUAUAGUUGAUGUUUUGGUAAAUUUGAUUUGCUCUGGCCAUGGGUAGUGGAAGGCAAAGAAAGUUUGGAUUGAGUUCGGGUUUUUUAAGAUUUGAUUUGAAUGAGUAAAUGCAUGACUUUUCUUUAGAGAAGUGCCGAUUUGAUGAAUUAAUGCAAGCGUCAAAUAGGCCGGUUCAAAUUCGCUACGGUUCAGCGAAAGGUCAUCUGUAAGACACGCUCGCAGGCGUACUGUAGGGAUGACGGGAGAAGAGAUUUUGUGUGCUAAGAGCAUCUACGACUGGACAUGGCAAAUCCGGCCCCUCAAAAGCCUGUGGACGUGACUGUGCGCAUCCAUGGGCAUUGACCGGUCACACCUCAAAUUUCUCUUCUCAUAACCGGACACCUCAAUUAGCAUACCUCAAAUUGACACAAACUCUUACAACUAUGUAAACGGUGUAAUUUACACACAUCGUCCGACUACUACAUCAAGACAUGUCAUCGGACUAUCAAAAUUUGCAUGUUUACCAACAUGGUAGUUAUGGAGAGCCCUUACUCUUCUCGGCGCCCUUGGCAACCUUCUCGCGGAAAUAGCGGUCGAAAACACAGUAUAGAUCGAGCCGGAUUUGCGCAUCGCCAGAGCUGUCCAACCUGUCGUUUGUCCUUCUCCUCCUUGGCGGCAGUCCGGCCAUGGCACAGACCACCCGACUAUGUUCUCAGGUCAGGGCACGCGUAUUCCUCCGCUGCUGCUUGUUUACAAUGCGGGCGCGGAUGGCUUCCUCCUCUGCGGCACCCAACGCCUCCGCAUUAGCCACCUCAGCCGCCGCCAUGUCGGUAGCGAGGCGGGCCUCAGCCACCCUCAUCCUCUCCUUUCCAAGGCGGACACACCAGUACUGGUAGCACACAUACUCUGACGGACAACUAAUGGAAAAGGGAGAUUGGAAGGCUUCCGGGAGGACCGCGAUGAUCCAGCCCCAAGGGAUCCGAGCGUCCGGUGCGCCGACGCAAUGGACUCGUGCUGGACAGAUCCCGCCGUUUGUCAGGCGAUGUCCUCUCGGGAGUUGCGGAGUGCAAUACAAACGGCCACUGGCUCGUUGGCUCCUCUGUAGGGUCGGGUGGGCCGACGCCGUACUGCCCACAGGUUCGUAUCUGCGUUUGCGGCGGCAGUGGUAUAUGUAGAGAUACAAUAAUGAGAACCCUCGAAACUGCAGCGUCUUUCAUGGCAGACAGGUAACGCGUCUGCGCGGUCACAUUUAUCCAUUUAUAGACGGAGCAACCAAAUCCCAAGAGUCAUUCGUAUACAGAUACACGGGAGCGAGCCCGGCCGGAAACGAAACACCAUUCGUCGCUCCCUCGCCUCACACCAGCGCGCACUCUGCCUCCUCUUCUCGGUCGCGCGUCGCCUCUGCCCUGCCUCGCCAACGACAGCAAACACCGGCUAACCAGCCAACAAAGAGGCGCCGACAUGGCCAUCCCGCUCCAGGCGAAGAAGCAGCAGGAGAACGGAAGCAAGGGCGGCCAAGGCAGCGACGUGGACGGCGGCGACGACAACCCUUCGGCGGCGGAGGAGCUGCGGGAGCUGUGGCGCAUGGCGGCGCCGAUCACGGCGCUCAACUGCGUCGUGUACCUGCGCGCCAUGGUGUCCGUGCUCUGCCUGGGCCGCCUCGGCCCGCUCGACCUCGCCGGCGGCGCCCUCGCCAUCGGGCUCACUAACAUCACGGGCCACAGCGUGCUCUUCGGCCUCGCGUCCGGUCUCGAGCCGCUUUGUGCCCAGGCCUACGGCUCCCGCAACUACGACCUGCUCACGCUCUCCCUCCACCGCGCCGUGCUGCUGCUCGCCAUCGCCGCCGUCCCCAUCGCGCUGCUCUGGCUCAACGUCGGCCCCAUCCUCGUCGCGCUCGGCCAGGACCCGGCCAUCUCCGCCUCCGCCGCCGCAUACGCCGCGUGGGCGCUCCCGGACCUCGCCGCGCUGGCCGUUCUCCAGCCGCUCCGCGUCUACCUUCGGUCCCAGGGCAUCACCAAGCCCAUGGCCGCCUGCUCCGCCGCCGCCGUCGCGCUGCACAUCCCGCUCAACUUUCUCCUCGUCUUCCGCAUGGGCUUCGGCGUGCGCGGCGUCGCGGCCGCGCAGGCGCUCACCAACACCAACAUGGUGCUCUUCCUGCUCGCCUACGUACGCUGGGCGGGCGCGUGCGACGACACGUGGAGGGGCUUCGCGCGGCCGGCCGCCGUCGCCAGCGGGCUCGGCGGGCUCGUCCGCCUGGCCGUGCCCAGCUGCAUCGGCGUGUGCCUCGAGUGGUGGUGGUACGAGGUCGUCACCGUGCUCGCGGGCUACCUCCAGAACCCCACCGCCGCCGUCGGCGCGGCCGGAGUCCUUAUCCAGACCACCAGCCUGAUGUACACCGUGCCCAUGGCGCUCGCGGCCUGCGUCUCCACCCGGGUAAGAAUAAGAUUAGGAAACACUAGCCCAGCCCGCCAUUGGUGUCAACUUUCCAAAAGGAAAAGAAAUCUUUGAUUCGUGAAAUGAACACUUGCCCGCCAUUGUCAUCAACUUUCCACAAAGAAUGAUUAUUAUUUUGAUUCGUGUCGAUCACCCAACUGCCAAAUUCCUUUUGGGGUUUCAAUCACAUCGCAUCGCAUCGAUCGACCGAUCCGUUGGUGAUGUGGGCGAGAGGUUGUUAUAUUGCUGGUGAUGAUGAGUUUGUUGCGAGCAUGCAUCAUCAUGGGACGUAUCACACGUAACUUAUUGUGCCGGCACAUCCCUCUUGCUCACACAUUUUCUGGUGCUCUCUUUCCUUCUUUUUUUUGCACCUUCUGUUUUGCAUGAUACCCAACCGAUAUUCACUUGCGUUUUUGGUCCCAUGCAUGAUUUACGAGACCAAGCUUAAUUUUUCCUCCAUUUUUUACGCCAUAUUUUGGGGUCACUUUGUACCAUCUGUUUUUGGAAAUGAAGAUUUCUUUGCCCUGCAUGCAUGCUUUUUGUAAAAGAAAAUCCAAUUUUCUUGAGCUAAAUUCUGUCAAAACAUCCUGUAUAUUGGGUUCUUUAACACUUCGAAGAUGCGAGCUUGUUUUUGGGAGACACGCAAGUCUGUCUAGCUGCUUUGAGCUACUCUUGUCAAAACAUAGUUUCAUUCAAUAUCAGUCGGAACAAAAGUUGGAUGCACCGCACACACUUCCUUAGCUAGGCUAGCUGCACACAUUUGCCAUAGACCUACUUCCAAAACGGCAAAAUAAAUGUUGCCAUACUUCCAUUGAAGCACAAAAUAUCUUCCCACUAUAUAGCUGCUACCUACAUAUUUUCCUUGGCUACAUACUUCAAUUUCGGUGAAUUUGGGUACAUACUACAUACUCUAGUAGUUAGAGCUUUCAUAACCAUUAUCUUAAAAAAUAACGUUGAAUUUUUUUAUCUAAAAAGACCCAGCUGAUCGGGUAAACGGAAUAUUUGGACCGAAUUAAGUGCCAUAUAUUCCCCUAAGAAAAAGGAAAAACUGACGUAUAUUCUGAGUCCCAAAAGGCACACUCCCACGUUCCUUUCUUAGGUAGAUUCCCAGGUAGCUAGACUAGACAGCUGCUGUUUUUACCCCAGGUAAAA
rnacentral:lncRNA from 1 species